UUGACAACUUCAUAGUGUCAAUGAUAAAAAUGGGAAAUAUUGGAGUGCUGACAGGAACUGAUGGAGAAAUUCGCACGCAAUGUAAUUUUGUGAACGAGGAUUUGUCCGCAAUAUUAGCUGGUGUGGCCUCCAAAGAUCCUAAUGAGAACCUGCUUGCUCAAUCUAAGUAAGUUAAUACGUGUAAGUUAAUAUGUGUAGUAAAGGGAAAAUAAAAGGUUCUAAACCUUGGUGCUGUGUUGAAAUUGUCCAAUUAGUGUGGAUGGCAAAGUGAUUUUGCCAUGUACCUCUCAGUUUGCUAUGUAUUUACUUCGAUGAAUCUCAUUAUCAUUUCCACCUUUCUCUCUCUCCUCUCUUACUUGAAUAAUAUAAAGUCUAUACAUUUCUUUCUUCAAAUGCUACAGAAGUAAAACCAUAUGGAAAUUAAUUGUGCAUACAAUUAGGACAGGAAUAUGUAUCAGACAAACAGGCACAAGUCUGGUAAGAUCUGAUAUAUAUACGCAUUGGGAUACCCUGUCUGCUACACAAAAUGUUUUGUAAUACAAAUCUACGGGUAUCUUGUACUUGUAGCAGUGUGACUGAUUCAUGUAGAUGCAUACAGUCCUUGUCCUGAUAAUGUAAUGACAAUUUUAAACACAUAAUAUGGCAAGAGUUGCAUAGCAAAAGAUCACGUUUUCAUGCAUACUUUGUUUUAUUUCAAUAUUGUAGUAAAGAGGUUUACAACCUUUAAUUUGCUUUUACAGCUCACAUUUCCCGUUAACUUAUUAAGAUUGAGAAACCAUGUUUUGUUUAGAAUUUUUGGACGUCAUACUAGCUAGUCCAAAGGAGUCUCCAUUCACAAAAUUACACUGUAACCGAAUUUCUCCUUCAGCCCCCGUCAGCACUCCAAUAUUUCCCAUUUUUAUCAUUGACGCCCUAAAGUUGUCAAAGAAAGUGUUUUGGUUACUGCUGAAGCUAUUGACAAUGGGAAUGGUAUCAGCAGCAGGAGUAGAGAAUAGUUCUUGGUCGCUCUGAAGUAAGCCAUUGAGUUGCUGAAGAUUGGAGUAAUAUUUGUUAUCAAAUUGAUCAGGAGUGGUGAGGUCCAAAUUGGUGAGGUUGUUCCCAGUUGCAUUCUGGGGGCAUAUCUGACGCAGUGUUGCUAAGUAAACUGUAUUCAGAGUUGGAUCAGGGUUUCCAGUGUUGUUGAAGUUGUAUAAUCGGUUAUUGAAUGUACUGCAGUGAGCUCUUCCAAACGUAUGAGCACCUGUGUAUAUGCAUAUAUAUAAUGGUUUGAAAAUUAGAAAUAGUACAUGUAGUGUUUGAUACCAUGUUAACUUAUUCACUUUUCAACAAAUUAAACAAAAAUUAAGAAACUCUAUACCUUAAAUACAAUUUGAGAUCAUGAAGUUGAUGCUAGGUAUUAGUAAUGUGAAUUUGAUUAUGCAUACCUGAGAGUGCAACUAAAUCAGUGGUGUUGAGACCUUGAACAGCAAAUGAUGCUUUAAGUUGAGUGAGGUUGAAGAAAGGAGGAGGAAGGUUUUGAUUUGCAAGGGUUCUGUUUGCAGUUAAACUAUCUUUUCUUCCUAAUGGAACUAACCAUCCUGGACCUCCUCCCUGAAAUAGAUAAAUUAAAACACUUUAGUACAUAUUUUAUAAAACUCAACCAAAAGUUAAUGGUGGAUGUUUAACUAACUGAAAUUUUAAUUUAUUGUCUCGAACAAAACAACAAUGUACCAUAUAUAUAGUUGUAUACUUUGAUAUUUUAUAUUUUUUAAAUAUGGCACAGAUAUUUUUUAUAGGGUGAUGAUACACUGAUACCCAUUAAAUAAAAACACACACAUUGACAUUCUUAAAUAAUAAUUUUGUAAUCAUAUUUUUUUUUAUUUUUUAAUUUUAAAUUCUAAUAUAUAUUAUUAUAUUAUUAAAAUAGUUUGUAAAGUGAAUGUUAUUUUUUGAAGAGUGUCAAUAAAACUUUUUUCUUUUUAUAGAGAUAGUGAUUAAUUAUUUAAAACAUCAUCAAAGAUAUUUCAGUACAAACAAAAGUCAAAUUAUGUUCUAUUUUCUUUUCAAUGACUUUUUUCGCAAAGAAGAAAACAUAUACGUAAUAAUAAGCAUUUUGCACGAAAAGCCAGGUCACAUGCAACACAUUAAUUCAUCCUAUAUACUUCAAUUUGACUUUCUAUGUUGAUGAUGCGAGGUAUUUCAAAAUCAUUUUUGCCGUGCAAGAGUUGAACACGAUGAUAACGAAUUGUCUAUAAAUAAGGAAAAGUUUCUUUUGACAUUCAAAAAGAAAACCAAAAUAAAAUUAAUAUAUUAAAGUAAUAAUUAAUAGGGUUGUUAAAUGUAUGUGUUUUACGGAUGUCACCACCCUAUUAAUAAAUACCUAAAUACCCGAAUUUUGAGAUGUUAUUAAAAUAAUAAUAUAUUGACAAUUCAAUUUUUUAUAUAACCAUAUUAUAAUUUUAAUAUUUUUAUAUCAUUUAAUUAUAAAUUUAUUAUUUAUUAUAUAUAUUUAUUUUUAAAUUUAUUACAUAAAAAAUUAUAUACUUCUUUUUCAAAAUUGUGAAACCAUCAUUUCUCAUAUUAUUACUUAUUACUUGAGAGUUGGCUAGCUGUUUCACACUCAAGGGUGUAUAAUAUAUUAUUACAAUUAAACAUUGCUUAAGUUUUUUUUCCUCUUUCGCAUAUCUUGGAGGCAAGUAAGUUCAACACGGAUUGAGUCCAUUUAUUCAUGUGAUUAAUGGUGACUCACACACACACUAAAAUUAUGGUAUUAAAAACUAUGCCCUUAGGUUUAAUCUUAAUUACGCCAGUUAAUUAUCAUAAAGAAUAACCUACAACUCUUGCCAAUCUUCUCUAUCUUGCUUUUUUGUUCAAAAAGCCCGGAAAAGUUAUUUAUAAUCAGUUAUUGCUGAUAAAAAAAAGGUUAUUAUAAUCAAUCAAAAUUUUCGAGUCUAAGAGUAUUAAAAUUAAAAACUAUGACUGAUUCCCAUCCAUUAAUACUUAUUGAGGAUUGAGAUCUUUCAAUGAUAUCCGGUGUGACCCUUAUUCAAAGAAUUGCGUUUGAAUUUUAAUUAUAAUUUUUUUUAAUCAGCCAAAAUUUUUUUGUUACAAAUUUUAUAUUUGAAUCCCAAUACCAUGUAUAUAAUUUUUAAUCCAUGCCAUUUUUUAAAUCUAACAUAAACUGUAUAUUUCCUUUUUUUUCUAAUUCACCUUAAUUAGGACAUCACACUACGUUAAAUGAUUGAGAAUUUGAACUUACCAGAAUAGAACCUAUUUCAGCUGCAAUAGUAAGAAUAUCAGCACAAGAAACUGUCCCCGGACAACUAUUUUCCACCGCUGUCUUGAUAUUAUUGACCACAUCCAAACCCCUUAUUGAAUUGUUAUUUGGAAUUGCAUCUUGUUCGCUUUCUAUAAUAGCAGUGUUGUUCAGUAAAACUGAUGCAUCACAACCCUGUCAACAAUAUAACAAUAUAGCUUUAGUUGUUGUUAAUGAGAUUUCUCCUUUUUACCAUAGUAUCUAUAUCCUAUUCUAAUGAUAUAAAAACAGUAAAUGUUGUCCAGGUUUGUUUGUUCCUUGUUCAAGAAAACUGUAUUAAGCUGAAUUAAGCCACCUUUUUUCUUUAAGUACCUAAUUACAACAUUAGGUAAUGAAUGAAUGCAACUGUGCACAUACCAUGGUUGUUUUAAUAAGCACAGUGCUUAGUAAAAAGAGCAAAAAACAAUGACAAGUGUUUUGGAAAAAAGAAGUACAUACUUGAACAAAGCAAUCAUGAAAAUGAAGCCUGACGAGGCUAGCCCCUAUUCGGGGAUCGGUUAAGGAAGCUUGAAAGAUGACUUGAAACACAAUAUUGAAUAGAUUUGGACAUGUUUCUCUGUAGAACGUAGGACUAAGCUGAGCAUUAGUGACUGAAAACCCUGCAUGCAAUGCAAAUGCACACAACACUGCCACUACUACUACACGCAUGGAACCCAUUUUGGCUGUUCUUGAUCCCAACUUAAUAUGUUCUCAGAUCUCACAUCGAUCCUUUAUUUAUACAAGAUAUGAAAUGGGUGGAUAUCUUGGAAAUCACGACAUCUCAUAUGUUUGCAUUAACUUCAUUUUUUUUAAAUUAUUCUUUCACGAAUGUAUUCUUUAUGAUAUGGCGCCCAAUUGGCUAUGAUGCUUCUUGAUUUUUUUUACUUGAAUUAUUGUGCCAUGGUAGGACCAGUAAAGAGUAGGAAUCGUUAUCUUCUUGAAAUGUUAUUCCCACAUUCUGUAGAAUGUGAUGGAGCACACAAAGCCACGAAUUUAGAAAAUGUUAUAUUUCACACAAGUAUUUUUUGAUGAAAACUGAAUUUCAAAAAACUUGUGUACACUAAGUUCAGCAUCUUGAUCCUAACUAAAAUUUGCUUUGUAGGACCACAGCAACACCACAUACCACUGCAGUAGGCACUGUGCAAAAUAAUUCACCUCUCUUAAGAGAGCAUCCACUCCCCUGAACCUCUCUGCAUAAACAUUUUCAUACUAAAUUACCUUUAGCAUUGACCUGUAAUGUAGUAGGGGUAAAAGAGUGAUUUUCAGGGAAAUUGUGAAGCAUUAGAGCUUUCUUCAACUUUGGCUUACAUAAAAUAAAAUCAUGAAAUAAAAAUCAAUUUUAGAGAGAAAAAAUAAUUAGUUGUUAUAGUAACUAAAUUAGAUACUAUUUUAGAAAUUAUUUUUUUUAAUUCUAAAUUAGUUUCGAUUAUUGUUAAAUAAUUUCUAAAUUAGUAUCAAAUUAGCUAUCAAGGUUUUAACUACUAAUUAAAUAGAAACCAUUUAACAAUAAUAUAAGCUAAUUUAGAAACCAAAAUUUUUUUAGUCUUUAAAAUGAUCUUUAAUUUAAUCAUUAUAACAACUAAUUAUUUUUUAUUUCUAAAAAUUAGUUUCUAUUUCAUAAUUUUCUUUUAAUGUAAUAAAAGCAUGUUAUGUGACUUUUAAAAUAAUUAUUAAAAGUGUACAUAUUCUAUAUAAAAAGCAUUACACCUUUUACUGACAAAAAGUUAUCUUUGAGUGUGAUUUUAAAAUAAGUUUUAGAAAUAUAUAUAAAAAAAUGUACCAAAUAUGAUAUAGUAUCUAGUUUUAAUAACUAUGAAAAAAUUAUAUUAUAAAAGAAAUUUAAUCUAAGUUACACUACAAGGAAAUCAUGAAAUAGAAACUAAUUUUUUUUUUAGUUUUUAAAAUGGUAUCUAAUUUAAUUACUAUUGCAACUAAUUAUUUUGGUCUCUAAAAAUUGGUUUUUAUUUCAUGAUUUUCUUGUAGUGUUAAUUUGAUUGCAUACACUACAAGAAAAUCAUGAAAUAGAAAUCUAUUUUAAAGACAAAAAAUAAUUAGUUGUUAUAGUGACUAAAUUAGAAACCAUUUUAAAAACUAAACAAACUUUUGGUUUUAAAAUUAGUUUCUAUUAUUGUUAAAUGAUUUCUAAAUUGGUAUCUAAUUAGCUACCAAGGUUUUUGCUACCAAAUUUAGAAUCUAAAUAAUUGGUAGUUAAAAUCUUAGUAGCUAAUUAGAUACAAAUUUAGUAACUAUUUAACAAUAUAAAAACUAAUUUAAAACCAAUUUUUUUUAGUUUCUGAAAUAGUCUAUAAUUUAUUCACUAUAAUAACUAAUUGUUUUUUUUUUAAAUUAAUUUCUAUUUCACAAUUUUAUUGAUAAAUCUAAUUAAACAUGGUGGAUGAUUAAGAGUAAUUAAUAAUUAUGGUAUUCUCUUUUAAGUUUCUUAUGUCAAAGUCAAGUUUCUAAACAGGAAUUCUGUAAUAAAUCUUUUAAAGAUCUUCUUUCUAGAAAGCCACCUAUUUCUUAAUUAUUAGAAGAGUGAUGAUAUUUUGAUAUUCUUUUUUGUUUUAGAUAAAAUUGUUUAAUAACUUGUUACAAUAAUAUAAUAAUAUGAAUAUUCUAAUUAUAACAAGAUCAUUUUUAAAUGAUAUAUUAUAUGUUAUUAUAAUAAGGUUCUACACAUUAAUUUGCUCAUUUUUACUCCAUCAUUAGCAUAAGGUUACAAAAGUCAAAUGGUUGUCCAUUAACCAUCUGCAUGACUUUGGAGUACUUGGUCAUAACCUUCAAUUGAUUAAAUAUUAGCAUGUUCGGUGUUAACUAAUCAUAUAUUAAUAAUUAAUAUUAUCAAAAUAAUAUUUUGAUAAUUGUUUAUUAAUAAAAUAUAAGUAUUUAAUUGAAAUACUAUUAUUAUUAUUAUAAAAAACUAUUAUUCUUUUUAUCGACAACCACUACGAGAAAAAUUUGAUUUAGCUUCCAAAUUUUUGCGUGGGCCAUUUGCGGACGCUACUCUCGUUGGCCAAAAUGAGUAAAAGCCCACGCAAGAUUUACAUUGGACGCAUAUAUUAAUUUAUUUAUUUUUUUUAAAAAAAUUUUUGCGUCGGCCGCGGCCCACGCAUAGGCGUCGGUUUUGCGUCGGCCGCGGCCCACGCAUAUGCGUCCGUUUUGCAUUGCCCACAGAACCCACGCGUCCGCUAUAGCCCACACAUGUUUAGAAUUUUAAAAUUUAAAUAUUUUUAAUGUAUAAUAAAUAUUUUAAUUUUGAAUUCUUUAUUAUAUUUAUUUUAGAAUUAUUUUUUUAAUAUUAUAAUAAAUUAUUUAAUUUAUCAAUUUUGAAUAUAAAUUAAUUAAAUUAGAUUUAUUAAAUUAAAUAAGCGUUUGAUUUAAAAUUAAUUGAGUAAAAUAAAAUAUAUAUUUAAAUUAUCUAAAUGUUAUAUAAAAUAUUUGUUUAUUUUAAAUAUUAUUUAUUUUAAAUUUAUUUUAUUUAUAUAUUGUCAUAACUAUUUUAUUUUUGAAAUUAUGAUAUAAAUUAGUUAAAUUAAAUUUAUUAAAUUGAUGAUAAUAAUAUUAAAUUUAUUAAAUAUUAAUAUUAAUACUAAUAAUAUUAAUAAUAUGUAUAAUAAUAUUAAUUAUAAUAUUAAUAAUAAUUUUUAUAAUAAUAUUAAUUAUAAUGUUAAUUAUAAUAUUAAUUAUAAUGUUAAUUAUAAUAUUAAUUAUAAUGUUAAUUAUAAUAUUAAUUAUAAUGUUAAUAAUAAUAUUAAUUAUAAUCUUAAUAAUAUUAUUAAUAAUAAUGUUAAUAAUAAUUUAAUAAUAAUGUUAAUAAUAUGAGUAUAAUUUAUUUUAUUAUUAUUAAUAAUAAUUAUAUUAAUAUAUAUAAAUUUAUUUUGCACUUCCUCCCAUACAAACUCCAUCAAAGGCAACAUCUCAUUCCAACUUCCCAGAUGAUCCAACACACAUGUCCUCACAAAUCUUUUAAGGACUAGAUCGUUCUCUCAUACUGCUCAUUUGUUUGAGGAUGAUAUGCAGAGCUCAUUCUCAAUCUAGACCCCAAAUAAUCUUGUAGAAUUUUUCAAAACUAUGAAGUAAAUCUGACAUCUCUAUCAGAAACAAUAUUCGAAGGCACUCCAAGCAAUUUCAUAAUCCCUCUGAUGUACAACUGUGCCAACUUGGCUAUAUUAUUCUCAAAUUAACUGGAAGAAAAAUGAGCGCUCUUUGUUAGUCGAUCAUCUAUCACCCAGACUGCAUCAAUGUCUCUUACUAUUCUCGGCAUAUAGGUAAUAAAAUCCAUAACAAUGCUAUCCCAUUUUUACUCGAGAAUAUCCCACUACUGCAACAACCACUAGGUCUCUGAUGUUCUACCUUUGCCUUUUGAGAUGUCAAACUUGUCACAACAUACUAAGCUAUUUCUUUUCUCAUGUCUGAUCACCAAAAGGAUUCCUUCAAAUUUUGGUACAUCUUAUUCAUACUGGGAUGUAAACUUAUAUAACCCUUAUAACCCUCUUCUAGAAUCAUUAUCUUCAGUUCUUCAUUGGUAGAUAUACAAACUCUGCCUUUGAAUCUCAAUAUCUCAUCUUCUCCCAUCACAAAGUCCUUAGUUUGAUAUAUACUACAACUAAUAUGAUUAACAUGGAAUUGUACUCCCAAAUUUAGAUUUCUGAACUGCUCAAUCAACUUCUGCUCUUCAAUCAUCAUGGCUGACACUUGUGCUGACUUUCUUCUAAGAGUAUAUGCAACUACAUUAGUCUUCCUUGGAUAGUACAUAAGCUGGAAAUCAAAAUCUUUCAUAAACUCCAGCCAUUCUCUCUACCUCAUGUUCAACUCUUUCUGAUCCAACAAGUAUUCACUGAACAUCUGAAAUUGAGUUUCAUAUAAAUAAUGUCUUCAAAUCUUCAAAGCAAACACCACCACUGGAAACUCUAAGUCAUAAGUAGAAUAAUUUCUCUCAUGAACUUUGAGUUUCAUUGAAACAUAUGCAACUCCUAUCUUCUCUUGUAUUAAGACACAAUUCAAUCUCUGAUGUGAAGCAUCAUACUAAACCUCAAAAGGAUUUUUUUUUUCCUGUAUCAGGAAUCUCCAACACUAGAACACUUGUCAACCUUUUCUUCAGCUUUAUGAAACUCUGCUCACAUCUUGGUUGGAUCCACUGAGACCCCUGAGCUGAUAAUACAUACUCAUAAAGUUCAUAUCGAGACCUAAAGAUUGUCUUCUGCACAUCUUCAGCCUUUACCAAAAUCUUGUGCUAUCCAAAUCUCAUAUCAAACUUUGAGAACUGUGGCUCCAUGUAACUGAUCCAUCAAAUCAUCAAUUCUGGGUAGAGGAUACUUGUCCUUGAUGAUCAACUUAUUCAACCAUCAAAUCACCUUUCUUUUUAACUAACAAUAGUGGAAACCCCGUGAAAAUAUAUUGAGCCAGAUUAACCACUUCUCUAACAACUCUUCUACUUGUUUCUUCAAUUUAGUCAACUCAGUUGGAGUCAUUCUGUAAGGUCCAAUUGACAUUGGUCCAACUUCAGGUACCAGAUCAAUGUAACAUUCUACUUCUCUCUUUAGAGUUAAUCCAGGUAUUUCUUUUUGGAAAUACUUCUACGAAUUCCUUCACCACAUGUAUACUACUCAUCUCAUCUUCAUUCUUAACUCCCAUCUGAGUAAAAAUUAUAAAACAACUUGAUCUUUUCUUCAGUUCAGACCACACUUGUUGAGUAGACAUAGAUUCUAACUCAUUGGAAUUUGGAAACACUAUCUUUCAUUGAGCACAACCUUUGAAAAUGUGAUUGGCAGAUAGCCAAUCCAUUUCUGGAAUAAUAUCCAAUUCAUCUCCUACAUACUUGGCAUAAGCUAGUGUGUCGAUUCCAAAUCAUACAAUGCUUUCAAAUCCAUAUCAACUAAACAACAUCCAUUCUGCAUGAAUUUUUUUUUUUUUUCCAAGUAAUUUCUCUGUCUGUUCCUUUUCAACAAUUUUCUUUGUCUAACUAUAAUCUAAACACAAUUAAGAUAUCUCACCUUUCUUCUUUCUCAAUAUUAUUGAUACUUCUCAAAUGAUAUAAUCAACUUGUAAACUUUUUUCACCAUAAAAUCUCAAAUUUUCUUUUAAGCUUUGUUGUUCAGCUAGAGCCAUCUUAUGUUGUGUUAUCAACAACCUUUUCCAAGCUUCAUAUCAAAGAAAAUUCAUACUUUCAUCUUGGAACUUAACUCGGGUACUUCCCAUGGAAACACGUGCUUAAAUCUUUAAACCUUCAACAUACUAUUUAUUUACUCUUCAUAACUUAUAUGUAUCUGAAACUAAACCUUGACACAACUAAAUCUAACUUGCACUUGCUCUACACUUAUAGGGUAACUAUCCAUUCUUACUUUCUAGGGAUUUUUGGAACUAUUGUUUACUAUUUCUAUUCCUAUUCCUAUAAAAUGUAAUUCAUAAAGAAUCAAUUUAUUUAGAAGACAACAUCUAGAUCUUACAAAGGCAAGCAAUCUCAAAAUCAUCUAGAAUUUGAGUUUAUCAAAAAAUUCAUAAUACUUAUAAUAUAAAGUAUUAUACCAAAAUAAUUAUUGAUGUACAACUGUUAAUCUAAAAGACAACUUUCCAUCAAAUACAAAAACACUUAAUGAAAUAAAAUGAAUCACACAAAAAUUUAAUAUAUGCUAAACAUCAAACUUUUAGAAUUAAGAUAGAGAAUCAUCUUGAUUCAGUUAUGAGUGUGCACCCUCACUACUUUAUCAAGAUCUUUUCAUUCUUAAUACUAAAAUUUUCAUUUAGAACACACAUUUACUAUAGCACAAACAAGAUUUUCAAAAACCUUUUUAAAAAAAAUAUUUGAAAACCUUUCACUAUAACUUUAAUUAAGACUCCAAUAAUUAUUUAUAAGCAAAAGAAGCACAAUGAACCCACUACCCUCAGGUCAUCCUAAGGAUGAACUGCUCUGAUACCAAAUGUAACAUCCCUAUAUUUUCCCAUAUCUAUAACCAUAAUCUGUAUGAAAUAUUAAAAUAAAUAUAUAAACAUAAUACAAAUAUAUCUAAAAUUUCAUUAUUAUAAUGUUUCAAAUUAUCUCUCUCUUCAUAAGACUUGAAACAUUUACAUAAAAUUUAAAACAAAAUUUCAAAAGAAAAAUAAACAUUUUCCAUUAUCCAUCUUCUCACCGAAAAACUUUAUCACCUCUAACAUCAUCUGCUCCCGUGUAAAAUACACGAUCAUCAUAGAUCAAAGAAAAACAACCACAAAACAAAACAAAUGGUAAGCUAGGUAUUUUAAAACUUAUAACACAAAUAUGACUUUAAACAUCCACAUAAAUUCAUCAUUUCUCAUGCAUUUCACAUAACCAUCAAGUGUCUAUNNNNNNNNNNNNNNNNNNNNNNNNNNNNNNNNNNNNNNNNNNNNNNNNNNNNNNNNNNNNNNNNNNNNNNNNNNNNNNNNNNNNNNNNNNNNNNNNNNNNNNNNNNNNNNNNNNNNNNNNNNNNNNNNNNNNNNNNNNNNNNNNNNNNNNNNNNNNNNNNNNNNNNNNNNNNNNNNNNNNNNNNNNNNNNNNNNNNNNNNNNNNNNNNNNNNNNNNNNNNNNNNNNNNNNNNNNNNNNNNNNNNNNNNNNNNNNNNNNNNNNNNNNNNNNNNNNNNNNNNNNNNNNNNNNNNNNNNNNNNNNNNNNNNNNNNNNNNNNNNNNNNNNNNNNNNNNNNNNNNNNNNNNNNNNNNNNNNNNNNNNNNNNNNNNNNNNNNNNNNNNNNNNNNNNNNNNNNNNNNNNNNNNNNNNNNNNNNNNNNNNNNNNNNNNNNNNNNNNNNNNNNNNNNNNNNNNNNNNNNNNNNNNNNNNNNNNNNNNNNNNNNNNNNNNNNNNNNNNNNNNNNNNNNNNNNNNNNNNNNNNNNNNNNNNNNNNNNNNNNNNNNNNNNNNNNNNNNNNNNNNNNNNNNNNNNNNNNNNNNNNNNNNNNNNNNNNNNNNNNNNNNNNNNNNNNNNNNNNNNNNNNNNNNNNNNNNNNNNNNNNNNNNNNNNNNNNNNNNNNNNNNNNNNNNNNNNNNNNNNNNNNNNNNNNNNNNNNNNNNNNNNNNNNNNNNNNNNNNNNNNNNNNNNNNNNNNNNNNNNNNNNNNNNNNNNNNNNNNNNNNNNNNNNNNNNNNNNNNNNNNNNNNNNNNNNNNNNNNNNNNNNNNNNNNNNNNNNNNNNNNNNNNNNNNNNNNNNNNNNNNNNNNNNNNNNNNNNNNNNNNNNNNNNNNNNNNNNNNNNNNNNNNNNNNNNNNNNNNNNNNNNNNNNNNNNNNNNNNNNNNNNNNNNNNNNNNNNNNNNNNNNNNNNNNNNNNNNNNNNNNNNNNNNNNNNNNNNNNNNNNNNNNNNNNNNNNNNNNNNNNNNNNNNNNNNNNNNNNNNNNNNNNNNNNNNNNNNNNNNNNNNNNNNNNNNNNNNNNNNNNNNNNNNNNNNNNNNNNNNNNNNNNNNNNNNNNNNNNNNNNNNNNNNNNNNNNNNNNNNNNNNNNNNNNNNNNNNNNNNNNNNNNNNNNNNNNNNNNNNNACUCAAAACAAGAAAUCUUGCAACAAAAUUUGGAAUUGGUGACCACGUCACACUCACAUUCAAAUCUUCUAACCUAGGGUUCUAUUGAAGAUUUUAAACUAGCUCCCUUUACCUGGACUUUAGCAGAUGCUCAUUAAGAUCUCCAAACCCACCAAAAGCUUAAGGAUACCCUAACCUGCACCACAGAGUCCUGGUCACAAAUCUAAGUACAUCACUAGGACCCUGAGCUAACAGAGACUAAUUCUGAAGAUAAAAAACCUCACAUGCAAACUUAAUUUAAAAGGUAACCCAACCAAAUCAAAACUAACUCAAAGGAAAAAGAGCCAAGAAUGAACUUACUCUAUCUAAGAUUUUGAUCGGUCAAACUUGUAGAGUUCACUGCCAGGAGUCCAAUGGCAGACUCUAAUCAUCAAACUAAUGAAAGAGGAGGUCAGAAUCUAAGAGAGAGGAGAGAGGAAAGGAAAAAGGAAACAAAAGUGAACAUACUCUAUGAAAGAUUGUGAUCGAUCAAUCUUGUAGAUCUCGCUGCCAGGAGUCCAAUGGUGGACUCCGAUCGUCAAACAGAUGAGCGAGGAGGUCGGGAUUUUAGAGAGAAGGCAGAGGAAAGGAAAAAUGAGUUUUUAGAGAGAUGAUGGUUCUUUUUAAAAUGAAACCUGAAUAACUAAAUUUCUAUUUAUAUAGCCUUUUCACUUUAAUAAUAAAAUAUUCAGGUGUCAUUUUAAUUGUACCAUUUCUACUCUAAGACUAUUUUUCUCGGUCCUUACAGUAGAUACAUCUUGUUUGGUUAUAGAUGACAAAUGAAUCCAUCUUACGAGUAUUGUCAUAACUCCGUUCUUGGAAAUUCCUACUUUAAUUGGGUAUGGAUAAUAUCUAAAUUUUGUAAAUUGUGUAUAAAGACGUGUAAAAAACUGAUACUCGAAUAAUAUUUUUAAAAAUAAUAAAAAAAUAUCUAUCAUUUAAAAGAGUGUGAAAGUCAUCAAGUUCAUAUUACAACAAUCUUGUAAUGAAUUGAUUGCGGUAAUCCUAAAUCUAAACCCUAAAUCCCAGAAAAAAUAUUUCAAAACUCUCCUUAAAUACCACGAGUUUAAAAUUUUUCAUAAAAUACUAUGAAUUUCAAAACCUUCAUAAAAUACCACGGAUUUCAAAACCUCCAUAAAACACCAUAGAUUUCAGAACCUCCGUAAAAUAUCAUGGGUUUCAAAACCUGCAUAAAAUAUCACAGAUUUCAUAGCCUCCUUAAAAUUUCAGAGCCUCCUUAAAAUAUGACAAAUUUAAGAACUGAUGGAGAAAUUCGCACGCAGUGUAAUUUUGUUAACGAGGAUUUGUCCGCAUUAUUAGCUGGUGUGGCCUACAAAGAUCCUAAUGUGAACCUGCUUGCUCAAUCUAAGUAAGUUAAUACGUGUAAGUUAAUAUGUGUAGUAAAGGGAAAAUAAAAGGUUCUAAACCUUGGUGCUGUGCUGAAAUUGUCCAAUUAGUGUGGAUGGCAAAGUGAUUUUGCCAUGUACCUCUCAGUUUGCUAUGUAUUUACUUCGAUGAAUCUCAUUAUCAUUUCCACCUUUCUCUCUCUCCUCUCUUACUUGAAUAAUAUAAAGUCUAUACAUUUCUUUCUUUCAAAUGCUACAGAAGUAAAACCAUAUUAUGAAUUUAAUUGUGUGCCAUACAAUUGCGUAGCAAAACCAUAUUAUGAAUUUAAUUGUGUGCCAUACAAUUGCGAGCCUAAAAGCAUUUUGUUAAUUUCAAGUUAAGUGGAGUAAAAAAAGUGUUAAUUAGAUUUGAAGUUGUAUGUGGAUAGCAGUGAUAGUAAAAGUGAUAGUAAAAUUAUAGAAACACAAGAAUAAGAAGAUUUUCAGACACAUGAGAUAAAUCAUAAUGAGAUUUUUACUUUCGCGCAACUGAAGGCUUGAUCUUGGGUAAAGUCCAAAACCUAUAGGGUAUGUGUUUUCCUUUUCUGAUUGGUCUCAAGAGUCACUGAUUUGUAUAAAAUCUGUCAAAAAAAAUUAGAAGGUAUAACUGAUGAGUAGAGGGUUCAAUGUUAGUUUUAACGCUUUUUAGUUACGUUUUUGUAAAAGAGGUUAGACUCAAAGUUUUUGCUUAUGUUAUGAGAUUGGAGUAAGAGAGAGUGGUAGGUCUUUUAUACAAUAAUUGAUGUAUUUAUGAAAUAACUCUUAUUUAUUCAUUGUUUUUUAUAAAAAAUUAAUUAGGAUAGGAAUAUAUCAGACCAACAGGCACACCGUGCUUUGAAGUAUUAAUAUGUUAAUCACCUGGAAGUUGGAGAUAAAAUCUGAUAUAAGCAUUGGGAUAUAUACCCUGUCUGCUACACAAAAAUGUAUUGUAAUACAAACCUACGGGUAUCUUGUACUUGUAGCAGUGUGACUGAUUCAUGUAGAUGCACACAGUCCUUGUCCUGAUAAUGUAAUGACAAUAUUAAACACAUAAUAUGCCAAGAGUUGCAUAGCAAAAUCACGUUUGCAUGCACACUUUGUUUUAUUUCAGUAUUGUAGUAAAGAGGUUUACAACCUUUAGUUUGCUUUUACAGCUCACAUUUCCCAUUAACUUAAUAAGAUUGAGAAACCAUGUUUUAUUAUGGAUUUUUGUUCACAAAAUUACACUGGGACCGAAUUUCUCCUUCAUCCCCCGUCAGCACUCCAAUAUUUCCCAUUUUUAUCAUUGACGCCCUAAAGUUGGCAAAGAAAGUGUUUUGGUUACUGCUGAAGCUAUUGACAAUGGGAAUGGUAUCAGCACCAGGAGUAGAGAACAGUUCUUGGUCGGUCUGAAGUAAGCCUUUGCGUUGCUGAAGAUUGGAGUAAUAUUUGUUAUCAAAUUGAUCAGGAGUGGUGAGGUCCAAAUUGGUGAGGUUGUUCCCAGUUGCAUUCUGGGGGCAUAUCUGACGCAGUGUUGCUAAGUAAUUUGUAUCCAGAGUUGGAUCAGGGUUUCCAGUGUUGUUGAAGUUGUAUAAUCGGUUGACGAAUGUAAUGCAGUGAGCUCUUCCAAACGUAUGAGCACCUGUGUAUAUGCAUAUAUAUAUAUAAUGGUUUGAAAAUUAGAAAUAGUACAUGUAGUGUUUGUUGCCAUGUUUGAAAAAACUUAUUCACCUUCACUUUUCAACAAAUUAAACAAAAAUUAAGAAACUCUAUACACCUUAAAUAGAAUUUGAGAUCAUGAAGUUGAUGCUUGGUAUUAGUGAUGUGAAUUUGAUUAUGUAUACCUGAGAGUGCAACUAAAUCAGUGGUGUUGAGACCUUGAUUAGCAAAUGAUGCUUUAAGUUGAGGGAGGGUGAAGAAAGGAGGAGGAAGGUUUUGAUUUGCAAGGGUUCUGUUUGCAGUUAAACUAUCUUUUCUUCCUAAUAGAACUGCCCAUGCUGGACCUCCUCCCUGAAAUAGAUAGAUUAAAACAUUUUAGUACAUAUUUUAUAAAACUCACAAAAAGUUAAUGGUGGAUGUUUAGCUAACUGAAAUUUUAAUUUAUUGCCUCCAACAAAACAACAAUGUACCAUAUAGCACAAAUAUUCAUUAAUUAUUUAAAACAUCAUCAAAGAUAUCUCAUUACAGACAAAAAUCAAAUUAUCUUCUCUUUCCUUUUCAAUGACUUUUUCUCAAGAAAAAAACAAAACUAUAAGUAAUAAUAAGCAUUUUGCACGAAAAUCCAGGUCACAUGUACUUAAAUUAUUGACUUUCAAUGUUGAUGAUGCCAGGUAUUACCAAAAUCAUUUUUGCCGUGCUAGAGUUCAACACGAUAACGAAUUGUCCUUAUAAAUAAGGAAAAAUUUCUUUUGACAUUCCAAAAUAAAAUAAAUAUAAUUAAAAUAAUAUUUUAUAGGGUUGUUAAAUGUAUGUGUUUUACGGGUGUUAAAUAUCACCACCCUAUAAAUAAAUACCUAAAUACCCGAAUUUUGGAGAUGUUAUUAUUUGAGUGUAUAAUAUAUUAUUAUAAUUAAACAUUGCUUAAGUUUUAUUUUUUCUCUUUUUGCAUAUCUUGGAGGCAAGUAAGUUCAACACGGUUUGAGUCCAUUUAUUCAUGUCAUUAAUGGUGACUCACACACACACACUAAAAUUAUGGUAUUAAAAACUAUGCCCUUUUUUCAACCAGCUGACUCAAAUAGGUUUAAUCUUAAUCACGCAAGUUAUUUUUUUUUUUCAAUCAAGGCUUUAAUUACGCCAAUUAAUUUUCAUAAAGAAUAACCUACAACUCUUGGGAAUGUUCUCUGUCUUGCUUCUUUUUUUCAAAAGCCCGGAAAAGUUAUUAUAAUCAGUCAAUUUUUUCGAGUCUAAGAGUAUCAAAAUUAAACAUUAUCACUGAUUUCCAUCCAUUAAUACUUAUCCCAUCAUUAAUACUUAUUGAGAUUGAGAUUUUUCAAUGAUAUCCGGUGUGAUCUGAUUCAAAGAAUUCACUACAAGAAAAAAAAGUUAAGCUAGUUUUAGUGAGAAAAAGUAAUGAUAAAUAUAAGAUUGGUUACUAUUUAUAUAUUAUUUGUGAUUAUUUUUUUUUCACUAAUAUUGUUUAUAAUAGUGACAAAAUUAAAAAUAUCACAAUAAAUAUAUUAAAAUUAAUGAUAAAAAUAAAAUUUGUUCCUAUUUAUUUAUUAUUUGUGACUAUUCAUUUUAUUUGUCACAAAUGUUAUUCAUGAUAGUGACAAUAUUAAGAAAUAUCACAAUAAUUAUAUUAAAAGGUUAAAAACACAUAUCAUAAAUAAUUACUAAAAAAUAUAUAAUAUUUUUUAUAAUAAAAAUAUAAUUAAUAUAAUUUACUAAUUAUUUAUAAAUUAAUAGUUAUUUUUAUCAAUGAUAAAUUUUUAAUUAUUAGUCUGUUAAAAUAUGUCUAACAUUAUUUUCAUUUUAUGAUAAUAUAAUUAACGGUGAUAACUAUAAAAAUUAUGACUAUUUUUUUAAGUUAUUAAAAAAUAAUUGUUCUACUUUAGAUUUGAACUCAAAAUCCUUUAAUGAAAAAAAUUCAUUAUUUUCACUAUAUCACUUUAGAAUUAUCAUGAUGUUUGUAUCAAUAAUAAUAAUUCAUUCUUAAAAAAAACUAUUAAAUUUAUGUUAUUUUAUAUUUAAAUGUAUGAUUUUCUUUUUUAUAAGUCAAUAUUAUUUUUAUUUUGUGAUAAUGCAAUUAAUAGUGUUAUAUAUAAAAUUUGUCACUAUUUGUAUAUUAGUUGUGACUAUAUUUUAAGUUGUCACUAUUUGUAUAUUAGUUGUUACUAUAUUUUAAAUGUGACUAAUUUUAAGUUGUCACUAAUUUUUUAUUAAAAAUAAAAAAUAUACAUGCUAUAAAUAAUUAUUUAUUAAUGUAAAAUACCAUAUGAUAAAUUUAUUUUUCUUUCAAUAAAAAUAUAAUUAAUAAAAAAUUUAUUGAAUUUUUAUAAAUUAAUAAUGAUUAUUUAAUAUAAAAUAUCAUAUAAUACUAAUUUCAUUAUUAUAUAACUAGUAAUUGUGAAAAAAAAUAUUAAAAUUUUUCUAUUUUAAAUUUGAACCCAUAAUCUUUUAUUAAAGAGACAAUUUUACUUUCAUUGUGUCACGUUACAAUUACAAUACUUAUUUUGACACGAUCGGUCGGUUACUUAGACCGAGUGACUGACUCGUCUAGUACCGACCGGUACAUUAACAAUUUAAGAAAUUAUACAACUAAUGUGUUAAAGUGAAAAUGAAAACAUAUAAUCAGAAUUCAUGAAAUUAUAAAAUAAAUAAUCAAAAGUACAUAAUUCAUCCGUCAACAAUUUUUUUUUAUCUUUUCUUUUCAAUUUAACACUCUUUUUAUUUGACUAUGUUCUUCUUUUUUCUUCAUACUUUAUAAAUUAUAUAGACUUAUACUAUUUAUUAAAUUUUAUCUUUUUCUAAAAAUAAAUAUAAUUAUAAAAUAUAAAUGAUUAAGUACAAAGUUUGUUAUUAUGUAUAAAUACAUAAAUACAAGAUAAUGAAUCAAUCUCUAUUUGUAGUAGGCUUAUAACUGGUUAAAAUAUUCAAAAAUAAGUUUGAAGCUUAUAAUUUAGUCAAUUAUAACUAAAUCAGUUAUCAUGUAUUGUUCUCCACAUAUGUUGAAACAAUGUAUAUUUCUAAAUAUCUCAAGAGUUAAGAUACGAAUAAGAUGUUAGUACUUAAGCUUAUAUAUUAUGAGAAAAAUGCAAUUAUUCUCUUUGAAAUUAGGUUUAUCAAUGUUGUCUUACAAAAAUAUGCGGUAAAUUUUGUCAUUAACAUCAUAAUAUAUAAUAUACAAUUAUUUAAUUGUAAUUAUUAUUUUAUUGUUGACCUUAUAAUAUAUUUAAAUAAAUAAUAAAAUAUAAAUAUAGUUAUAUUUAAGUUAAUAUAUAAUCAAUGUUUAUGGUUAAAUAAAAUAAGAUAAUUAAGUAUUACUUUAUUAAAAAUAUAUAAAAAUUUAACAUCAUUUAUUAAAAUAAAAAAUUAUAAAUUUAUUUAAAAAAUUAAAAAUAUAUAAAUUUUAUUAAAAGAUUAUGAAAAAUAAAUAUUUUUUUAAGAAUAUAAACGUUUGAGUAACAUUUAAAAUGAUUUAUAAUGAGAUAAUUAUAUUUUUUAAAUUAAAUUAUAAAAAAGACAAGUUUUUUUAAAGUAAACUUGAAUAAAAAUUACUCUUAUUUUAUACUUCUUAGAUUGAUCCAUCACAUAUGUAACCUUAGGAUUACACCUCUCCUCAAUAUUACUCAAAGACUCAUGUUUAUAUGUUUGUGCAUAUCUAAAACAGUUAUUUUCAUGAGAUGUUUAAUCUGAAUAAUAAUAAUAUUAAUGAAAUUAAUAAUAUAAAUGAUAUUGAAUAUAUGAAUAUUAUUAAUAAUUUUUAUAUUAUUAAUUAUAUUAAUUAUAUUAAUAUUAUUAAUAUUAUUAAUAUUGUUAAUCAUACUAAUAAGUAUAAUAAUUAUUAUAACAUCACAAUAAAAUUUAAUUAGUGUAAUGGUUGAAGCUUCUUUGAUUAUUUAAGUGACUUGAUUUUGAUUCUUACCUUGUGGAAUUUAUUUUUAAUAUUAAUAAUAAUUAUAAUAGCAUAAAUAAUAUUUGUGGUGAGAAUUUAAUUAUUGUCAUGAAUAUUUAUAUUUAUAUGUGAUUGAAUUUUGAUUAUAUAUAUAUUUUUUUUGUCUAAUUCACCUUAAUUAGGGCAUUACUAUAAUGACACCACGUUAAAUGAUUGAGAAUUUGAACUUACCAGAACAGUACCCAUUUGAGCUGCAAUAGCAAGAAUAUCAGCACAAGAAACUUUCCCGGGACAACUUUUUUCCACCGCUGUCUUGAUAUUAUUGAUCACAUCCAAACCCCUUAUUGAAUUGUUAUUUGGAAGUGCCUCUUGCUCGCUUUCUAUAGUAGCAGUGUUGUUCAGUAAAACUGAUGCAUCACAACCCUGUCAACAAUAUAACAGUAUACCUUUAGUUGUUGUUAAUGAGAUUUCUCCUUUUUAUCAGAAUAUCUAUAUCCUAUUCUAGUGAUAAAAAAACAGUAAAUGUUGUCCAGGUUUGUUUGUUCCUUGUUAUAGAAUAAAAUCAAGAAAACUGUAUUAAGCUGAAUUAAGCCACCUUUUUUCUUUAAGUACCUAAUUACAACAUUAGGUAAUGAAUGAAUGCAACUGUGCACAUACCAUGGUUGGUUUAAUAAGCACAGUGCUUAGUAAAAAGAAAACAAUGACAAGUGUUUUGGAAAAAGAAGUUCAUACUUGAACAAAGCAAUCAUGAAAAUGAAGCCUGACAAGGCUAGCCCCUAUUCGGGGAUCGGUUAAGGAAGCUUUAAGGAUGACUGGAAACACAAUAUAGAACAGAUUUGGACAUGUUUUUAUGUAGAACGUAGGACUAAGCUUAGCAUUAGUGACUGAAAACCCUGCAUGCAAUGCAAAUGCACACAACACUGCCACUGCUACUACACGCAUGAAACUCAUUUUCGUUGUUCUUGAUCCCAACUUAAUAUGUUCUCAGAUCUCACAUCGAUCCUUUAUUUAUACAAGAUAUCAAGGGUGGAUAUCUUGGAAGUCACGACAUCUCAAAUGUUUGCAUUAACUUAAUUUUUUUUUAAAUUAUUUCUCAAAAGGUAAACUAACAUAAUUUCACUUAUAAUUAGUUGUUAUAGUGACUAAAUUAGAAAUCAUUUUAGAGACUAAACAAAAUUUAGUUUCUAUUAUUGUUAAAUAAUUUCUAAAUUGGUAUCUAAUUAGCUACUAAAGUUUUAACUACCACUUAUUUAGAUUUUAAAUUUGGUAGCAAAAACCUUAGUAGUUAAAACUAGAUACCAAUUUAGAAACCAUUAAUAAUAGAAACUAAUUUAAAAACCCAAAAAAAAUUUAAUUUAUAAAAUGAUAUCUAAUUUAGUUACUAUAACAAUUAAUUAUUUUUUUAUUUUUAAAAUUAAUUUUUAUUUCAUGAUUUUCGUAUUCAUUACUAUACGAGUUCCAAUUGGUUAUGAUGCCCACUUACUUCUUCCCCCUCAAAAUGCAAUUCCAAUUCGGCCAGAGAAUCAAAGGGCAGAUGGUAUGUCUUUCUAUUCAUCCUGAUUGUUGGAUUGAAAUUCAAAUCCGAAUGCGAGCAAGGUUAAAAACAAUAUAUAGAAUCUAAUCCGUCCUUCUAUCAAUCGAGAAAAAACAUUCAUCCAAAAUCUUUCUUUAUUACUACUACAUAAAACACUACAUUACAUAAACAACCACAUAUGACUUUCCUAGAGAACUAAGAGCUUUAAAAGCAUUCUGUUAUGCUAACUACAUUAAUUCAUUUCGAAACAGAAAUAAGUCAAAGGAUAGGCCUUAACAAGUAGAAAGAAGAUAAAGGAACUAUUUUUUUUUCUAGUCUUGAUUUUUUUUAUACUGGAAUUAUUGUGCCAUUGUAGGACCAGUAAAGAGUUGUAGAAUGUGGUUGGAGCACACAAAGCCACGAAUUUAGAAAAUGUUGUAUUUCACACAAAUAUUUUGUGAUGAAAACUGAAGUUCAAAACUGGUGUAGUAAGUUCAGCAUCUUUAAUCCUAAUUAAAAUAUGCUUUGUAGGACCACAGCAACGCCACAUACCACAGGCAAUGUGCAAAAUAAUUAACCUCUCUUAAGAGAGCAUCCACUCCACUGAACCUCUCUGCAUAAACAUUUUCAUACUAAAUUACCUUUAGCAUUGACCUGCAAUGUAGUAGGGGUAAAAGGAUGAUGAUUUUCAGGAAAAUUGUGAAGUAUUAGAGCUUAACUUCAAUUUUAACUUACUACUUUAAGAAAAUCAUGAAAUAAAAAUCAAUUUUAGAAAAAAAAUAAUAAUUAAUUAUUAUAAUAACUAAAUUAUACUAUUUUAGAGACUAAAAUAAUUUUUAAUUUCUAAAUUAGUUUUUAUUAUUGUUAAAUAAUUUCUAAAUUAGUAUCUAAUUAGCUACCAAAGUUUUAACUAUCAAUUAUUUAUAAAAAUUUGAUAGCAAAAAUAUUGGUAGCUAAUUAGAUACUAAUUUAAAAACCAUUUAACAAUAAUAUAAACUAAUUUAGAAAUUAAUUUUUUUUAGUUUUUAAAAUAGUAUCUAAUUUAGUCACUAUAGCAACUAAUUAUUUUUUGUUUCUAAAAUUAAUUUAUAUUUAUAUUUCAUAAAUUUUUUUAGUGUACAUUGAUACAUUAAUUUUUCUGAAUUUUAACUCAUAGUGUAGAGUCAACUAAGUUUCGUCAGAAAGUGGCAUUGUUUAAGUAAUAAUGUUAUAAUGUGUACAUUAGAGAAAAAGGUACUUCUUCAUUUUCUCCUUGGUUAUGUUUCUGCAGGGAUUAGGACAUACAAAAUAUUUUGCGCUGCCGUUACCUCAUUUAAUUAUAUUUUUUAUUUAUAAUAAAAAAAUGUAAACAUUCAUUUGCAGAAUAAUAUUUUUUUUACAAUUUGACUUAUCGAAUUUAAAAACAAAGUUUAAUUUGCCUGUGCUCUCCACUUAAAAAGUUUUACACUGUUAACUAAUAAAAGCAUUAUCAUGUGACUUUUUAAAAUAAUUAUUAUAAGUGUACAUAUUCUAUAUAAAAAAAGCAUUACACCGUUAACUAGCAAAAAGUUAUCUUGAGUGUGAUUUUUAAAAUAAGUAUUAUAAAUAUAUAAGAAAAAAUGUACCACAUAUGAUAUGGUAUCUAGUUUGUAUAACUAUGAAAAAUAUUACAUUAUAAAAAAAAUUAAUCUAAGUUAAUUUGAUUGCAUAAAUCUAACAAAACAUGGUGGUUAAGAGUAAUUAAUAAUUAUGAUAUUCUCUUUAAGUUUUCUUAUGUCAAAGUCAAAUUUCUAAACAGGAACUCUGUAACAAAUCUUUUAAAGAUCUUCUUUCUAGAAAGCCACCUUUUUCUUAACCAUUAGAAGAGUGAUGAUAUUUUUUAUAUAUUUUUUGUUUUAGAAAAAACUAUUUAAUAAUUUGUUACAGUAAUAUAAUAAUAUGAAUACUCGAAUUAACAAGAUUAUUUUUAAAUGAUAUAUUAUAUGUUAUUAUAAUAAGGUUCUACACAUUAGUUUGUUAAUUUUUACUCCAUCAUUAGGAUAAGAUUACAAAAGUCAAAUGGUUGUCCAUUAACCAUCUGCAUGACUUUGGAGUACUUGGUGAUAACCUUCAAUUGAUUAGAUAUUAGCUUGUUUCGUGUUGACUAAUGAUAGAAAAUUGUUUAUUAAUAAAAUAUAAGUAUUUAAUUAAAAUAAUAUUAUUAUUAUCAUUAUUAUUAUUAUAAAAAAACUAUUAAUUUUUUUUACCGGACAACAAAAAAAACUUUUAAUUGAUUGUAUAUGAAAAAGAGUUGUCAAAAUUAUCAUUUUCUUUUUUAGUUAUCAUAGUAAUAGACUUCCUUUUUAAGUAUCUCAUCUAUCUCGGUAACAAUAAAAACACUAUAAGCUUUUAAAAUAUAUUCUUAUAAAAAAAUAUAUAAAUCUUUGAUGAACUUAAAAAUUUGAAUUUUUGAUGGGAGGUACAUUGUAGAUACAUCUUGUUUCAAAAAUAAUAAUGUGAAAGUCAUCAAGUUCAUAUUUAGUCAUCAAUUCACUAUAAGAAAAAAUGGUUUUAAUGGGGGUUUAUUUUUAUAUUAUCAAGGGUUAAAACUUCCAUUAAGUCAUUUAUUUAGAAUUGCAGUUUUACCUCGCUAUACCAUCCUUGGGGAACAUGUUUACGAAGGUUUUUUUGAAUCUUAGGAAAAGUCUUUCAAAGUCCCUGUUAAAUACCACGAGUUUAAGAACUUUCGUAAAAUAUUAUGAUUUUCAAAACCUCCGUAAAAUAUCAUAGGUUUCAGAACCUUCGUAAAAUAUCACAGGUUUCAAAACCUCCGUAAAAUACCAUAAGUUUCAUAAACUCCGUAAAUUACCAUAGGUUUUAGAACAUUCGUAAAAUAUCAUAGGUUUCAGAACUUCUCUAAAUUACCAUAAGUUUCAAAACCUCUGUAAAUUACCAUAAGUUUCAGAACCUCCGCAAAUUACAAUAGGUUUCAAAACAUUCGUAAAAUACCAUAUGUUUCAGAACCUCUGCAAAUUACCAUAUGUUUCAAAAAAUUCAUAAAAGACAAUAGGUUUUAGAUAUGAACAUUUGUUUUUUCAUUCAUUUAUUAUUUAUGAAUUCAUGUGUUUUUUCAACCACAAUUAUUUACAUAUAUUGUAUUUAUUUAUUUAUCUAUGUUUGUUAAAUUAUUUUUCAAUAAAUAAAAUAAAUAAAUGGAUAUAACAUUCAUUAAUGGUCAUUUUAUACAUAUAUAUAACUAAAUUACAAUUUAUACAAAAAUAUAUCAAUUAGACACAAAUACAAAAUGAGUUAAAAAAUUAUAAGGAAUUAAUAAAAGACAAAUACUACUAUGAAGUAAUACAAAUGAAAACCUAACAUUGCUUACAAAAUAAGACAAAAAUCAUUUCUACAUUAUAUUAUAUUCUUCAACUAUCACAUAUAUUCCUCAAUGUCCAAAAUUUAUUCUAGUUGCACACUUUCUUGAUGAGAAACCUACAAUUGAGAAACCUACAAUAUAAACAUGUAAUAGAAAUAUAAAUCUAAAAAAUAAAAUGUUUUUCAACCACUUCUUUACUACAAUAAAUUCAGAAAAGUACAACUAAAAAUGCUAUAUUAUAUGUUAUUAUAAUAAGGUUCUACACAUUAGUUUGCUCAUUUUUACUCCAUCAUUAGCAUAAGGUUACAAAAGUCAAAUGGUUGUCCAUUAACUAUCUGUAUGACUUUGGAGUACUUGGUGAUAACCUUCAAUUGAUUAGAUAUUUGCUUGUUUCGUGUUGACUAAUGACAUAUUAAUAAUUAAUAUUAUCAAAAUGAUAUUUUGAUAAUUGUUUAUUAAUAACAUACAAGUAUUUAAUUGAAAUAAUAUUAUUAUUAUCAUUAUUAUUAUAAAAGAACUAUUAAUUUUUUUUUUACUGGCAAAAAAACUAUUAAUUGAUUGUAUAUGAAAAAAGUUGUCAAAAUUAUCAUUUUCUUUUUUAGUUAUCAUCAUAAUAGACUUCAUUUUUAACACUACAAGAAAAUCAUCAUUUAGAAAUCAAUAUUAUAGACAAAAAAUAAUUAGUUACUAUAGUAAUUAAAUUAGAGACCAUUUUAGAGACUAAAAAAUAUUGAUUUCUAAUUUAGUUUCUAUUAUUGUUAAAUAGUUUCUAAGUUGAUAUAUAUUUAGCUAUCAAGGUUUUAACUAUCAAUUAUUUAUAUUCUAAAUUUGGUAGCACCCAAUCUGCUUUUGAAAAUGACAAAAAUAACCUUACAUAAAGGAAAAAAAAAAUGUAAAUAAAAAUUACUUUUGAAUGAAACCUUUUAUCUAGAAACAUUCCAGAUUUCAAUUUCCGAAACUCAUUUUUUAUUUCCAGAAAUUUUUAUCCAAAAUGUGUUUUUAAUUUUGAAUUCUGGAUUUUUUUUGUCUAGAAUGUAUUUAUUUAUUUAUUUUUGAAUUAUAUUUAUUAUUCUGUAUUUUCAAAUCCGGAAUAUGGGUAAUUUUGAAAUUUUGAAAAAAUAAUAGGGUGCAGGUUAUAAUUGAUAGGGUGUGAAGAAAAACGUUUCAGAUUGAUAUUUGAACAUUCAGAUUCUCACAAAUUUCCAAAUUACUUUUUGAACAACUCAAUAGAUUCUCACAGAUUUCCAAUGUUCACACCUAGAAAUUAUUUUCACUCCAUUACCACGAAAUUAUAUAUAUAUAUAUAUAUAUUAAUUAACAAAAAAGAGGGAAAAUUAAAAAAUAUUAAAUAUAUUUUUUAAUUAUUUGUUUAUUAAAUUAGUUAAUUAUAUUUAUUUAUGAAGGUUUGAAAAAAAAAAGUAAAUUAUUUUGAUGAGGUUCCACAAUAAAUCUUUAUAAUUUAACAAAAGGAUAAAAAAAAUCUUCUUUAAAAUAAACUUUAAAAUUUAACAAGGUUAAAAAACUUAUUUUUAUUUUAUUAAGGUUAGAAUAAACUUAAUGAAUGUUAAAAAAAAUUCCAUUAUUUAGAAUAAACUUUUAAAAUUUAAUGAAGAUUAAAAUAACUUCCAUUAAUUAAAUCUAUUACUAAAAUUUUAUUAACAUUCACUAUAUAACUUUCGUUAAAAUAUUUUAUUUUAUUUUCUUGUGAUUCUUGCUUAAGUCCGCAUGUAUGGAUAUUGAUAUUGCAAAUAUUGAAUGUCACCUGGAUUACAAUAUGAUUUCCACUUCGAUUGAAUGUCUUAGUAAGAAAAAAUACAAAUUAUUUUACAUUGUAGAUAAAAGUAAAAUUGUUAUAUAAAAUCAUAUUUAAAUAUUUAUAAUUAUAAAAAUUUAAUUAAAAAGUACUUUUAUAUUAAAUUUAAUAGUAAUUUUUAUAUUUUAUAAUUAAUAUUAUUAUUAUAUAAAUUUAUUUUUUAUUAUAAAUAACUAUUUUUAUUUUUUCUAUAUUAUAAUUAUAUUUUUUUUAUUAAAAAUAUUGUUAAAUAUUUUUAUUACUAAACUUAUCUAAUACUUAAUUUUUUAAUAUUAUUUUAUUUUUAUUAUAUUAAAUUAUAUUAUAUAAUUGAUUAUAUUUAGGUUUGUAACAUAUAUUAUAUAUAAUAUAAUUGAUUAUAUUUUAUAUAUAAUAAUAAUUAAGCUAAUAUAUUUUAAAAUUAAUUCAAUAUUUAAACAUACUUUUAAAAUAAAACUACUAUUUUUACAAAAUAUUAUAAAAUUUGAAUUAACAACAUAAAUUAUUUAUUUUAUAUAUUUACAAAUAAUUAAUUUAUUGAAAAAAUAAAAUUAAGAAAAUAAUUAUUACUUUUAAAAAAAUUGAAAUCAAAAUGAUAACCCAAUUUCAAAAUUUAUAAAUUUUGCAUAACCUAUUCUCUUACAACAAAAAAAUCAUUUGUAUCAUUAUUUGAAUUUUGAUCUUCUAUGCAAUACAAACCACAAUAAUAACAAAGGAACUUAAAAAAAAAAAUAGUGAUAAUCGAUUAUGUAUUAAGAAACUGAAUAUCCUUCUAAAAAUCGCUUCUAAUCAAUUAUAUAUAUAUAUAAAUAAGGAUAAGAGCUUAUUUCUUGAAAAGUCACAAAUAUCGAUUAUACAAAGUUGUUAACCGAUUAGUUCUUCUUUUCUUUUUCCAUCAAAGCUUAUCUCAAUGAACACCACCAAAAAAGCAGGGAAUGUCCAUUAAUCAUUAUUUAUAUAAGUGGGUGCAAAUUUUAAUCCAUGAACUAAUUUUAUGGGAUAUGAACUAGUUUUAUAGGAUUGAGUUAGGUUUAAAAUAAUGAAUCAUUUCUAUUAUUAUGAUUUAUCCAACAUCACUUUCAAAUCAUGCCUAAUUGUAGGCACUUUCUAUCACGUGCAUAUAUGUUACGUAGAAUAAACUAAAUUAAGACAACGAGUUUACAGAUAAUUUUUUAUUUUAUUUUAUUUAUUUAUUAUCAGCAUCAAAGUAGAUACAUAAUAAUAUAGCAGAAGAUACAUCAGAAAAUAUUUGGCAUGCACACUAUCCUUUGGUUUAUUUCAAUAUAUUUACAACUUUUUGCCUUUACAGCACAUUCCCAUCAACUUAAUCAUUAUUUGGAUUUUGCCACCACCUUCUCUUUUCGAUCCUUGGAUGCCACACCAACUAAUCCAGAUGAAUCUUCAUUCACCAAAUUACACUGCAACCGAAUUUCUCCUUCAUCCCCUGUCAGCACUGAAAUACUUCCCAUCUUUGUCAUUGACACUGCAAAGUUGUCAAAGAAAACACUUUGGUCACUGCUGAAGCUAUUCACAAGGUGAAUGGUGUCAGCACCAGAAGUGGAGAAGAGUUCUUUGUCGCUCUGAAGUAGGCCAUUAUGGUUCUGGAGAUUGGAGUAGUAUUUGUUAUCGAACUUAUCAGGUGUGGUCAGAUCCAAAUUGGCGAGGUUGUCCUCAGUAGCAUCUAGGGGGCAUAUCUCACUCAAUGUUGCCAAGUAAGUGCUGUUCAGAGUUGGAUCAGGACUUUCAGUGUCGUUGAAAUUGUGUAAUCUGUUGCUGAACAAGCUGCAGUGAGCUCGUCCAAACGUAUGUGCACCUGUUCAUACUUUAAUGCUUGAUAAAUAACCUAGUUAUGGUGACUUUGUGAACUAAUUUUUGAAAUUAAACUAAGUUUUGAAUACAAGUUCUGUGAGAAAAUAUGAAUUUGAUUGAGUAUACCUGAGAGUGCAACUAAAUCAGUGGUGUUGAGACCUUGAACAGCAAAGGAUUGUUGAAGUUGAUCCAGUGUGGAGCUUGGUGCUGGAAGGUUUAGAUUAGCAAGGCUUCUGUUUGCUGUUAAGCUAUCCCUUCUUCCUAAUAGAACUGACCAUGAUGGACCUCCUCCCUGUGAAAUACAAAAAUUGAAACAAUUUAAGUGAAAACCUGGCAGAUACAUUUUGCUAACAAACAGUUUGUGCCUGGAAGAUAUAUUUAAAAUAUUAUAAUAAACUUUGUAUAAAAUUUAAAUCUUUGUAACAUUAUAAGAUCAAUAAAACUAAGACAGAUAACUUAUUUAAACAAUUUUGUAGAGUUUUUUGGAAUAAGAGUGUUAGUUGGGAGUUAAAACUUACCAGAACAGAACCUACUUCAGCUGCAAUAGCCAAAAUAUCAGCACAAGAAACUGUUUCUGGACAACUAUUUUCUACUGCUGUUUUGAUGUUAUUCACCACAUCCAAACCCCUUAUUGAAUUGAUAUUUGGAAUGGCAUCUUGUUCACUCUCUAUGGUAGCAGAGUUUUUCAGCAAAACUGAUGCAUCGCAACCCUGUUACAAACAUCAACAACCUACUUCAAACUUAAUCAUCGUAAGUUUUGCAUGUCAUUUACUUGCCUCUUAAAAGAAGUUAUAUAGUUUAAGAUGACAUAUAAGUAUACAGCACUUUCCCUUCAGUUUUGCAUGCAUAAGGUUUAGUCUAGUGAACAAGUAGGAACCUGAACAAAGCAAUCAUGGAAAUGAAGUCUGAUGAGGCUGGCACCAAUGAGGGGAUCAGUGAGGUAAGCGUUAUUGAUGACUCCAUACACAAUAGAAUAUAGCAGAGGGCAUGUUAUGUCAUAGUAAGUAGUACUCAAAUCUGCACAUGACACUGGAAACCCUAAUGUACACAACACUGCUACUGCUACUACAACCAUACGCAUACAACCCAUUUCACUGUUCUUCAAUUCUGACUUACUUUAUACUCAGAUAUCAUCUCCAUCCUCUAUUUAUAGAGAUGAAUUUGGUGCAUUUCUUUGUAUCACCACAUGAAUGGAUUCAAUAUUGAAUAAUUGUAGGACCAGCUGAAAUAUUUUGUUAAAAUUUUCACGACAUCAAACAUGUUUCUAUUACUCCUUUUCGAAAGGAAAAUUCUCAGAAAGUAGAGUGACAAAGUUAAUAUGACGUCUAUAUCUUGUACGAAAUGAUGUGCAUGACAAUAUCAAAAUUAUUAGAUAGUUUAAAAUUAUCUUAGAUUAAUCUAUACAUCAUAGCUAUGAUAACGAAUCACCUAUUAUUUUCUCAAGGAGAUCGUCAUUCAACAAAAUCAAGAAAUGUUACUGUUUUUUAACACAAAAACAAAAGUUUUAAAAUUAGAUAUAUGUACUUGCUAAGAUAUUGUAUCAAGUUUAGGAACGAUCAACAAGGAAAAAAGAUAUAAGAGUUCAUUAUUUUUGUUGCUUCAGAAUAAAUGGGGAUUGUGUAAAAACUACUUACUAAAUUUAUUUAAUAAUGAAUUGAUCCAAUGUAGUUGUAAUGAAAGUGGUAGAUAAAUGGAGGAAUAGAAGACAGGUAGGUGGGUGCAUGUACCAUGAACAAAACAUACAUAUAAGUAAUAGUUUAGUGUUAGUGAUACCAAUGUCAAUAAUGGAAACAAUUAUUUAGAGUAACAAUGCUUAUGAUAGUGAAUCUCUAGUGAUAGUAAAGAAAAAGUAACCAUAAAAAAUAAUAGGAUACGGUGGAAAUAAUUAUUUGAAUGGGUGUAAUGGUAGUAAAAAAUUAUUGUUUUCACUUUUUAUAUACAUAAUAAAGUUAAUCUCUGUUCUCACUUUUUAAAAAUUAUUGUUUACACUUUUGAUAUACAUAUACUAUAAUAAUUUUUGGUAUUCUAAGCGCCAAAUAAAUCCAAUAUUGUUAUGCAUAUAUUUCUUUCUUUGGAAUGACACUUUAAUUCUAAUAUAUACUAUUUUCUUUAUUUAUUUCUUAAUUUUUAUGUUCUUAUAUAUAGAUUGGAAAAAAAUGUCUUUUCCUUUAAUUUAAUAGUGUUAGAAUUCUAGAUCUUGAUCACUUAUCAAUUAUGUGAUCUCAUUCAGAAUGGAACAAAUACUUGCAACAAGAUUUUCAUCGCUUUAAGUUAAUAUUUAAAAAUAUUGAAAUAAUAAAUAUGAUAGAAAUCCUACAUUUCACCAUAUACCUAUUUAUAGAAGUGAGGAGUAGGAAUCCUCUUCAUAUUAUUGAAUUUGAGAUUAUCACAACUUUAGGUUAAUCUCGUCUUAUCAUCACAAUACAUAUUGAUAAGAACAUUAAUUAAUUUUAAUCAUUAAUUAAAUUUAUUAAUCGUUUAAGAUUCUCAAUCUCAAUAUGACAUCCAUAAGAGUCAUCUCUAAGGUUUAUACGACCUCAAAAAGGAAAUAUCAGCCAUAAAUUACACUCUACUAUCAUUUAAAAGAAUUUUCUAUCUAUGCAUAUAGCUUUUUUUUUGUUGCUUGGUAAGCUAUUAGCCACCGACAAUUAAUUUUAACCAGUGACCCAGUGCCACAAACGAAGUGCUCCGUAACUGGUAUGGUAUAAAUCAUCCCACCAUUUUCAUUGAGAACUCGAAUGAUACGAUCCCUUUACAAAUACAUGUAGGUGUACAUUCACCAAGCAUACUAAAGUACCAUCUUGGUUCUUAUACAUUUAAUACUAAAUAUCCAAUGAACCAUAUGUAAAAAUUAUAUGAUCAGUGAACAGAAUUUCAAAUAUUCUGUGAAACAACUCAGUCCCCGGGUCUCUUAAAGAGUGGGGAAAAAAACUCAUACAAAGCAAUCUAUCAAACAAAUGAAACUGGCAUCCUGGUUAGUGGAUCAUCAAUAUGUAGUGCUUGGUGAAAGCAUAAGCGAGCUAAUGAUUAUAGUUUGUAUUAACAUCUUCUGGGCCUCGCCUUUUCUUUUUCCCCUCUCCAUGUCUUGACCUUCUAGGUGCUUCAUCCUCACUUUCACUGUCAUCAUUCCGGAAGUUGUUCACAGCAGGAUGAUCAUCCUGGUUCGCUUUGUAACCUUGCUGAUACUGCAUAUCAUCAUCAGGUGCACCACUUUGACUGAGCAUGUCUUGACUCUUACCCUGCUCUGAUCCGGAGCCAUACCUAUCAUUUCUAUCAGUAGUUCUUUGAUCUCUUUUGGCAAGACGGUUUGUGUUCUGAGGUAGGGGUGGAGGUGGUGGAAACAUUGGAGGCAUAUUAACCGGCCUACCACCUCUUGGUGGAUUUGCCCCUGCAACCCCCAUCCCCCCCAUAAAGGGACCACGUCCAGGAUUCAUCAUCAUCCCAAAGCCACCACCUGGAAACAUCCCAGGCUGAGAAGGUCGCCCACGAAACAUCAUGGCUGCUGGGGGACCUCCAAAAUCACCAGAGAAUCUGGGACCGUAUGGUGCAAAAGCACGGGGCCCCACACUAAAAAGAUCUGGCAUACCAAAACCGUCAGGUGCAACGGGCCCAUAGGACAACCCAUCACCCAUCAUUACAGGGUUAAAGCCCUGCAUUCCAGGCAUGGGUCGGGCUCCACGUGGAAGAGGCAUAUGAGGUGGCCACAUCAUACCUCUGCCCCUACCCCUGCCUUGACCAGCUGGCCCUACACCAUGACCAAAGCUCUCAUCCUCUUCAUCACUUUCUUCCUCUUCCUCUUCUUCAUUGUCUUCAAAUGGAACAAUAUCUGGAUUUUCUCCACCAUUAUCUGGAUUCACUCCCUUUGCUUUCUCUUCUUCCCGUUUUGACUCGGCUGCAACUGAAACGGCCUGUAAAUACAAGAGAGCUGAGAUUAAUCCAAUUCUUAAAACACCUCAGUUAAAAACUGCAGUAUAUGUUUCGCGCAUCCAUCCACUAAAAUAGCUUACCAUUGAUUGAUAUGUAAUGCAUAGUAAAUGAUAAAAUAUUGCAAAAUCUGAGCAGUUGAUUUUAACAAAUUUGAACACGGCUGAUUCCCCAAACCCCAAAAUGGAGCUCCAGACAAGAGUGCUAGUAAAAUGUCAAACAUGAGAUACUUGAAGAUGGUUGCACGAGUUUUGAAAAUGCUCAGCCGAUGGCAUUAAUAUAAUCUAGCAAAAAAUAUGCAUGAUGGAACAGGGACUUUAAAAAAUUUUAAAUAAGACCCUAUGUUAUAAUUAAGUUUGAAGCAGAUCCUGCGGAUCAUGAAUCUCUAAAAUGAUUAAUGAAGUUCUAACAUAGCAUUCAGCUAGUGAGAAUCUAUUUUGAGAACUAUUUUUAGUAUAUGCAUACAGUCGAAAUCAUUAUAAUUAUAUGUACUUGUAAUAAAGAUUCGGAAGACUACGAAAACCUAAAAUGUAACUUAACCUAUUAAUUAUUUAGUCUAAUUUUUUACUCUAUCUUUACCCUUUACCUAAUUUCUAUCUAAUCGUUAAAAAUUUCAACCCCGAGAAUUAUAGAAGAGAAUAUUGAUCCACAAAAACUUAUAAAAGCCUCCCACUAUAAUGUUAUGCUACAAAACGUUGCCAUGACACUUCUAAUUAAGAUUAGUAUUUCAACUUGAGUGUUGACCAAUAUCUCUGAGAGAUUAGCUAAUCAUUAAGGAGAUUCAGGAUAAGAACUAGCAUAAAAAAUUAGGCUCAAAGUCCUCUUUUUCUAAAUUUCCUUAUAAAAAGUUUGUCCACCAUAGAUUUCUGAAUUCCAAAGGUCACACACUAAUCAUUAUGCCCUUAACUCCACCCCCCUCUCUCUCACACACGUGUGCACACACUAUCAAAGGUUGACAGCUUGGAAAAAAUGUGACUAUCGUAGCAUCUUUUAAGUUUGAACUGUGUUUAACUACAUAAGAUUGUUGAUAUACCAGCCUAUAAUCAUGUCUGAAAAUUUCUUAUUAGCAAAAAUGUCCCAUUUUAUAUCAGGUAAAACAAAUAUCAUACCAAUCCAAAGAUACUCAGUUUCUCAUUGUAACAUCCAGACCAUUUUGCCUUUCUCCCAUUAGUACAUCACGAUUAUUACCUAUUGGUUUCUAUUCACACAAAAAAAAUUAUGACUCAUAGGAGAAUAUACCAUAAGUUCACCAUCCGGCUCAAGAUAAAGCAACGAUGCCAGUUGCUCUCCAAUUGAAGGCUCCAGCUCCUGACAAUCUCUACUUAUCUGCAAUUGCAUACACAGAGAAUAUUAAAUACUAGUCAUGAACAAACUUCCCCGCAAGAUUAAUUUGUUAAGUGAAAGCUCAUAAAGUGAAUUGGAGGUAUAAUUUGGCAAAUAAACAUAACAAGGAACAAGGAAAACAACCGAUACAUAUAUAGUGCUGAAGUAUAUGGUCACACAUGGCUCAAUGAUUUAAAAAUGUAUCCGACUUUCACAAUACAGAACAUGAAACAUCUACACUAAAAUAAAACUUCAAUUAGAUUUCAGCUGCCAUAAAUUUCAGGACAUGCCAAAAAUGGUCUGUUCUUGGUCUUAUCACUUUGUGUUAUGGCCCUAUAAAGAUUUAACCUAAAGAUUAAUAGCCAAUUUUAGUUUCCACAAUCAGCAUGCAUCCGGUGUGUAACAAGAAACAGACAGUCUCAUCAUUAGGAAGCUGGUUGAUGUAGCUGACUGGCAGCUGUAGCCAAGUAAAUCAACAUUCAUUUGUUAAAUGUCAAGCAGUUAAUAAUGAUAUCAUAUCAAAUGGUCAAAAGUGACAUGACACCUACACCUAUUAUAUAUUAUGCUUGGUAGACCUAUUCCCUAAUAAGCGGUGAUGCAGAAAUGGUUACUAAAGGAACCAAGUUAGCAAAAGAUUAAAAGUUAAACAAGAAAAGAUAAAAUUCAAAGUAUAGGGUAAGAGAGAGGUAGACCAAUUAACAUUUUCAUAAGGAUCACAUCGAAAGUCAGAUGGGUCCAAUUCUUGGCAAGAAGAAAGUUUCAAAACACAACUAUUUUCUAUAUAAGAACCACUAGAAGAUUUCAUACCAAGACAAGAGUAAAGAAAGAAAACAACUAUCAUCAAGCUUCAAAUUAAAUCAUAAAAAUGGGAAAGAUAAUACCUUCACUGGUAAGUUCUCAUUGUAUGGAUUCCUUAAAUGGCGAGUUUUGUGGAAAGACAGUUCACAUAACUGCAAAUAAGAAACAUAAUUAGACAGAGUUAAUGUAGAGAAAAUUACCAUAUAUCAUAAUGCAAUUUCCAAUACUAGUUCAUGCACAAAUUUCUCCCAGUAGCUGAAGCUCAGACACAACCAUUAGCAAAGGCAACUCUAGUAAACAAUGAAAAAGAAAACUAUAUGUUGGUGAGUCAAACGACUCACAGCAAGUUAUUGGACAAUUGUUUCUUUUUUACUCUUUUUCUUUCAACCCAUGAAAAAUAAACACAAAAGAUGAAUUCCUCAAAAAUAACAACAAACUUCUUUUUCUUCAUUUUGGGUGAAAGGCUAUUUCUCAACUGUGCAACUGAGCAAUCCUAAAAUCUCAAACAAAAUAUCUCAACUUAUGCUCAAUAAUAACCACAGACAACAAUGGUAAUGGAUGAUCAAUUUGUGGUUAGAGAAUGAAUUGUAUGCCGAAUUUGAUAGAGGUUUGAAUGUUCCGAAGAUGAAUGGGGGGGAAGAAACUUGAAAUUAUGAUAAUUAAAUUGCAGCAUCUGCUGGUUAGAAUAUGAAAAUUGUGGGUGCAAGAUGUCAAAUAACUGAAGCAGAUUCUCAAAUGGAAGCUUCUUCAAUUCUGUGAUAGCCAUUAGCAUCUUCAGAAACUUGUUUUUAUACGAAUGUUUAAACUAAUGUAACUUUUAAUUCAUGGAUAGGAGCACACUAGAAGACAAUUAAUAUGGAAAUGACAAGAAAAAUAUCUUCGAAAAUCAGAUGCUGAAUAUCAGUGUUAAGAAAUCAUAAAUCAGGUAUAAAUUAACUGUUUGACUGUCAUGACAAUGAGAUACAUUACAUGACAUUAAUUCAGUAAUUCCAUCAAACUAUUAAGUAGGUUACUAAGGAAUUUUAAUUCUUCUGACAGAUAAAGUUGAACAUCCUUCUAGUUUCCAACACAUUCUCGAAACUAUUGAAGGUUCCAACAAGGCAAACCAAGUUAGAAGUCCACAACUCCCUCAAAGGUCAAGUUUUAUAUGGAGAACAUUACAGCGGUGCUUAGCAUGAAAAUAAUUUCAUAGGUUUGUCCAUCAGGAAGAGUAGGUCCAAUAUGAAAAUAGCAUAAAUCCUUAUAUAGGUUGAAACAAUCACCUCUAUGUUUGGUUGGCUCGGCACAGUCAUCCAGCAACUUAAAAUGAUCCAUUGCAAGGCAAACCAUUUUGUUUUCCCUGGAUGCUAUAUGCUUCUCAUCAAAUAAAUAUACUACCUUGGUGCUUAUCUAAAUGACCAUGAUUUUAUAGGUGAUGAUCAAUAAGGAUUUUAAGAUUCUAAAACUAUUGUUUUAAAUAUCGGAUUAUUAGGAUAAAAAUAUCUCAGUAUCUCCAUACUGAUUAGAAAAAAAAUAUCUUCAAAAUCUUCCUAUUUAUUUUAAUAUAUUUUUAUUUUCUUAUUUUGAAGAAUUUGAUUAUUACAAAUAAGAAAUGAUGAAAAUGUAAUUGAUUUAAUUAUCAUCAAUAAAAUAAUUCUUUAUUUCCUCACAUGAUUCAAGUUGGUAUCCGAGCUCCAAUCUUGGGAGCACUUUUUCUGCCACCACGUUAAUUGUGGUCACCAUUGUUUGCAAUUGCUAUUGAGGUUUGGUGGGCCAGAAUGGUAUGACUAAGUCCUCUAAAUCGUAUACUUUGACCAUGAAAGGUAAGAGUAUAUUCAAUAUUAUUGUUCCUAUCUCUUAGGCUAUAUAGAUUAUUGAUUUAGAAGCAACUAAUCACAUGAUUCUAUUUCCUGUGCUCCCCAAUUCAUAUAUCAAAAUGACUAGAUAACAACUCAUUAGAGUUGCAAAUAAUGAUAGUGUACCUAUGUUCGAAUCGAGAAAUAUAACUUUAGAAUCAUCUAUUAUAUUAAAAGACGUUUUAUAUGUCCCACAACUGACCAAUAGUCUCAUUUCUAUAAGAAACUUACAAAAGCUUUGAACUGUUCAACAACCUUUUUCUCUUCUUAUUGUGUAUUUCAGAACCUUGCCACAAGGAAGAUGAUUUUAAUUGCUAAGGAGCAAAGUGGUUUGUGUAUAUUGGAAUCCAAGGACCAAAACAAUAUAAAGAUCAUAAGUUAGCAAGUAAAAUAAAAAACAUAAAACAAUGGCAAAUUCCCAAGUAUGGCUUCAUCUUAGAAGUCUUGGACAUCCCUCAUUCAACCUUAUCAAAUCUUCUUCUCUCAUUUGUUAACUGUCAAAGCAUCACUGUGCAUCCUAUUUCAUCUGUUUGAUAAAAAUAGUAAUUUCCCAUUUUACUUAAUUUGGUUUGAUUUUUGGAAAUCUGUUUAGAAUCUAUUGCGACUAAAAAGACAAUGUAAAAUUUUAAAACAUCCCCAGAACAGCAAUUUGAAAUUUGAAUUUCCCUUUAGCAAUGGCCUUAUUUAAGUAUGAUUAUGGUGAUUUCACCCAAGACUAUUGAUAUCCUCGAAAAAAUUAACACAUGGAAUUUGUUGAAGGAGUUUUUAUACCUUCAACCAUUUAACCGAGAAGUUUCGCCCAUAAUGUGCAGUUCCAUGAGCAUAUUUCCAGUUACCCCCAGCAACAGAACCGCCAAUUCUAGAUGUCAUCUUUGCACAACCCUGCCAAAACAUACAUAACUUCAGGUUCAGGAAAUUGGCCACAGCCACGGAAAAGCUAUCUAAGGGUUCUUUUUCAUUUUAUAAAUGAAAAUUGUUAAGGGAUGACAGGAAGCAUUUGAUGAUCAUAGUGGAUUAAGUAAUCAACUAGGUAAACAUAAUGCAUAUUAGAAAAUUAUAAUUAAAAGACUAUUCCUCUUGUUGAAUUAAAUCAUCAGUAAAAGACCAAUUAACAAGCAAUCAAUAAUAUAAAACUAGUUGGGUUAAUGCAUUUCAUCAUGCCUAAAUUAGCAAAUUUAAGCAUAACAACAAAAUCAAAGAAAGAUUAUCAAUUAUCUCUCAAUUUCUCCAACUAAACCAUUGUGAUUAACUUAUCUCGGGUAUUUAAAUGACAGUUUUACAGGUUAUUUGGAUUCUGAUAUGGAACUGUCAUGAGAAGUUUCAAGAAACAAAUAAUACAUAGAUAAAUAAGAAAAAACAUGCUAGACAAAGAUCGUGGUUGAUUAAAUGUCAAAAGAAACUACUAAAACAGAUAAUUGUUCAAUAGAGAAAGAGAUGUGAUUUUUAUUGUUGGUUUGUCAGCUAAAUAAAAUACUGGCAAUUUAUAUAGAAAAUAUUAGAAGUGAUAGCAGCUUCUAAAAUCAGUCUUUGAUCUACUUCUAAAAGUUAUCCAAUAAAAAAAUAAUACUUUUUAUACAAUGCACACGAUAGAGUAGAGAACUUGAUAUGCCAUUGAAAAUUUAAGAGAUAAAAAGGCCAAAAGCAGAGCAUGAUAUGCAAAAUUAUACAGUCUGUGAUGAAACAUCCGACUUUUGAGGUUUCUAUUAAUUAAAAAGAAGUACCAAUGUCACCAACAGUAUCAUGGAAGUACUUAUAUGAAGAGACCGUGUUGAAGAUUUAAAACAUAGGUGCCAGAAAGAUAGUAUGGCGUAAUCACCAUACUAAAUAUGAAAUAUUCUCACAUUAUUUGAACUUUUUACAAAAAUUGAUAAGUUAUUUCUUAGUCAAGAAUUAAGCCUAUAGUAAGCCUGUAAGCUGAAUAUGUUAAUUUCCAGUUAAAUUGGCUAAAAAAUAGAUCAUGGCCUAAAUGCAUAAAGUUUAACAAACCUAGCCAAGUGGUAGGAUUAAUACAAAACAUACCUGGAAAUGUCUAGUACGGUUGACUGAGAAAAUCAAUAUCACAUUUUCCACAGAGUCAAAUGCUUCAUUCAGUUUGGAUUCAUUGCUCCUUUGGGUUGCCCAUACUCCUUGUUGUACAGAUAACUCCAAAUUUUCACGAUUGCAACUUUUAACAAUAAAAUACCUAAGGUUUUGGUGGGAAAGUAUAUUAGAGCAAUUCGCACUACAGAGAGCAUGUUGAUUCAACUAAAGCAAUACUUCAUAGGUUUAAAUAUUCAAUUUGAAGGUGGUGAACCCCUCAUGAAACUUAUCCAUUUUUAACUUCCAAACCAGUACAUCAUAAUGUAAUAAUCUCAUUUCAGUAAUUGGCGCUUGAUUAAAAUCAUCCAUCAGGUAGUGCUAGUUUAGACUCUACAAGAGGAUCAAUACCAUAACUUUACUUGAAUAUCAGAGACAACACAAUAACAAGUUAAGAAAACAGAGAUCUCUGACCUUUUAAUGUCAAACCAUUUAUAUAUAAAAAAAAAAACUUGCUUCUCUCCUUCAAUGUCACGACUAGAAAUCAGGACAGUAUUCAACUAUAAGGAAUGAAGUAAAGCUCCUUACAACAGAAAAAAAAAUCUGUAAACAGAAAACCAACAGUAGAAACAGCAAACCACCCUAAAGAUUGCUGAAACAAGUAAAGAGUGUUGGAUGUUCAGACUCAACAUGAGAAAAGUGUUGGAGAUGAGAUCCUAGUAGUUGUUGUUGGGCCUAUUGGAUCACCCAUUAUCGAACCAUUUAUAGAUGUCAAACUUUACACUUGCAUUGUCUAGUCCUCAACGUGUGAGGAGUGUGUUGGAGAUCCUAUAUUAAUAAUAUGACCAAAAUAAUGUAAAUAAGUAAUCUUAGAAUUUGGACUAAGGACCUAAUUCAAUUACACAAAAUUGGCAUGUAAAAUGAUGAUUAUGCCUAAGCUUUGUACGCUCUAUUUAUGCUAUACUUUUAAUUGAUAAGGAACUAAACAACACCCUUGAGGUCACAAUUACGACAGCCCUCCAAGAGGUUGCAACUAAGGCGUCCUACCAGUAAUCGCAUUUAAGGCAGCUUAGGGUUAAUUACAAUUAAGUCGACAUUCCAACACUCCUUACCACACUCUAAGCUACCAACUUAGAUUAUGGCUUUGAAGGUUUUAGAUUAUGGCAAUGAAGGUGGCUCAACAAUGGAUCUAAGAUAGGCUUUAAUACCAAAGGGCAUACCCCUCCUUCUCUUCUCUUUCAAAGAAGCUCUUGUCAAAGUUUAGAAAUUAUUCAAACUUAAAAUCAAAGCUAUCAAAUUGCAUUUCAUUCUCAACCCGUUGAAUCUUCUCUUUGUCCCUCCCUCCUAUUGGGGCUGAAGUUUCACCAGGACUUUUCUUAGAAGCAAAGAUAAGAUCCAAUAAAAAUACCACCACUUGGUGAUUGCUUUCUUUUAUUGUUUGUUUUUCUCCUUGUAUAAAUUCUUGGCUCUCUAACUACCUGAGGCUUCAUAAAUACCUUCCCAAUUAAGAGAAGGAUCAUCAUAAAAAACCAACUCAUAUCCCCAUCUUCAUUAUCAUUAUCAUAAGCCACUUGCCCCACUAACCACUCAUUGCAUCACCAAUGUCAUUCAAUAUAAUAGGGUCUAUGUCAUCCCUAAUAUUGUAUCUUUGAGCUAGUUGUUGGUUAAACUUUAUGCAAACCAAAUCAUGCAACUUUUUGUGGCCAAGUCUAUUCCUCUUUUUUUAAUGAAUUUGCAUCAUGAAUAAGUAAAAUGUUAAUUAAUUUCUUCCUACUUUCUACAAAAAAAAUCAAUAAUGAAAUAAAUCAAAUCAUGAAAAAUAAUUAUUACUUGCUUUCAAAUACACUAAAAUUGCACUCACAUCCCAGUGAGCUAGAUAUCAAGCUUAAAAUCUUGACUGCUAACUUUUGCAAGUUGAGUGGUGUGACCAUAAUUCUUUCACCAUUGAACUAUAACCAAAGUGACUUAAAAUGUAAACUUGACCCAAUUUAGAAGUGUUUAAGUGUCUCACAUGGGGUUGUGAUCUUCCUUAAUUCUUUGGCAAAGUCAUCACCAAAGAGUCCACUUCCACUCUUAUAAAGAACUUCUGAUAUUCUGGUUUAUAGCUUCUUCUUCUUUUGUUGAUUCUUUCUCGAGGCUUGAUGGGAUCUGGCUUUGUAUCUUGAGAUGACUGACCCUUUUGGGAAGUGUUUGUUGUGUCCUUAGUUAUCUGUCGGUUUAUAUCACAUGCCAGGGGCCAUAAAGUUGGCAUGCUCAUCUAUCAUCAAUGAUUGUAAAUACAUCCUUAUAUUUACUUUCAUUGUUAUUAAAAGACUUCAUUUUUGUUUUCUUGGUUUUUCCCAUUACUUCAUAUAUAUAGCUUAUAGUGACUUCCACAAGACAAAAUACGUGAACAAAAUGAGUCAUGACUUUGAGAGUAAAAACUAGAUGAUUCUAAAACAAAAGCAUAAGAAAAAAAUUUGUAACUUCCUUACACAAAUUGUACUUGCCCCAUUUAUAUGAAGUGAACAUCUUCGUCAAAUUUCAUUUCUUCUGAGGCAACCUUUGUAGUGAUAAAUAAGAGGUAACAAAUCUUGUAAGCACAUGUCUUACCAAUCCCCUCUUAUUUGUGAAUUGUCUCAACAAGCUCAAGGAACUAAAAGGGCUACAUGUGAAGCCAACAAGACUAACUGCCUCUUUGAUACUAACUUGCCUUAGUUUCUCCUUUUUUUCUCUUCUCCAUUGUAGCAGUUGGAUUUCAACAAAACAUAAACCCCUUUCUUCCACCACUAUUUCUCCCCUUAUCAUUACUAGUUGAGAAAAAAUAUAGUUCAUCUUCACUCUCAUUCUUAUCACUAGCCGCACUACAUAUAUAGAUGAGGUGGCCCGUUUUUUCUAUAAACAAUUUCCAAAGCUCUUCUCUAACAUUUUUUGGGGUCUAGUUGCACUUUGCAACAUUGCCCUUCUUUACCAUUAUAUGUUCUUUGGCUAUAGUAACUCCUCCUUUCAUAAUUUUUCCACAAUAAUUACAAAUGGUUUUGUUGAAGUUUAAUUCAUACAUCAGAGGAGAAUGUUUCCAACCUAGGUAAUUUUUGUGGGACGUUCUUAAACUGCCACGUUCAGUUGCCAUUGUAGUUGUUAGAAAAUAGGUGAUCAAAUGUUUCAAAUAUUCAAAGAAUAAUUAUUGAGUGGAAGAGAAAAAAAAUUAGGGAGGGUGUAUGGUACUAAACAAAAAGGAAAUAGAAAAUUAAAAUAAAAGAGGACUUGCAUUGGAACUUUAAGUGACGGGAUAGUGGUAGCAAGCACAACUAGACAACAAGUGUGGGACAAUGGCGACAGGACAACAAUUACAUAAAAAUGGCAAUGUGGAAGGCAAUGGCGGGACAAACAAAGACGUUACAUAAGAACAGAGGAGGCUAUUGCAACAGUGUGGAGUGUGUACGCUAUGGGUGGGGUAGUUCAUACUGAGGUGGUUGAGGUGCGUUAGGUUAAUUUUCUGUUGUAGUUGUUUGGGUUUGGGUCGGUUGCAUGGCCUAAUCCCUUUCCAAAAGAACACUAGCAGGUUGACCCAAUAUGUGUGACCUGAAAAUAAAAAUAUAAGAGAAAAAAAGAUAGUUUGUAAGUGCCUCAAGUGGGGUCGAGUCAGGUCGCGUAGACCUAAGGCUUCUUCCUUAACUAGGGGAGCGUUGUGCAGGUUCACGAUUUCUACCAUGGUCGCUCCAAACCGCCACUCUUCAAUGCCCAAUAUAGCCUUUAUGAGCCAUCUACAAAACCCGAUUCGCCACCGUCAUGUUAUGGUGGCUAAUGGAAAGUCUAUUACCAAAAUUUGCCAUCAUCGUUUUUUUGAUAACACUGAGGCUUGUCUCUACCUAAUAUGGGACACAUUCACCCUUUCACCUAUCAAAAUGAAGGUGCAUGAGGCUGCAUUUUAGGGAAAGCCAAGGGUGUCCACAAUUAAGUGGACUUUCCAACAAUCAACAACCACCACCUACUAUUCACACGAACUCCCUCUUGUGAUAUGAGGUUUGUCAAGCCUUUAGUUCCACUAAUUUUGUUGUACAAACUAAUAACUUGUUUUGGUUUGUUUCAUUCUCCAUCUAUUGGUUCUUGUGUCCUUAACUCUAUGGCUACUAAUUAGAUUACUAGUAACAAAUCUCUUUUAUCUAACCUUUCCCUUUUAGUAUUUUACCUUGCUAAAGGCCUUCAGGACCAUCUACUUAGGAACACUUUUGACUUACCUCUAACCACAACUUAUUUGUCUUUUCCGGCCCUCUCGCCAAUUACACAAAUUCAGUCAUGCCUCUUACUUUAUCUUCUAAGUGUAGAGCAAAAGAGAAAACUAGAAUAAAAAAAUAGGAAUACAAGAGCACACUCCUUGUUCUAUCCAAGGCCUACCCUCAAAAUUGUCAAAAGCCAUCUUCACUUUCCAGCCUAUCCUCUAUAUCAUUUUCCCCACCAUUAUUACUCUUAUAAUCUCCAAUUCCUGUUGCCAGUUGUCCAGUCUGUUGUUUGCCAUUACCCUCUCUCCCAAUCAAUUUCUCCACUCUUUCACUCCCUUCUUUCAUUGUAUUUCCAUCUUCUCUUUUUCUCUCCUUUCAACAGGCCUUCACUGCUCUCAGGUAUAUCUUUCUGUUUCUUUCCCCUUGUAUAUACUGUGUGUCAAUGGCAAUCAUUUUUUUCAGGUAAUAAAAAACCCUGACAAGUUUUAACAAUCAGUAGCGAAGAACUUGAUGCUUAUCCUGUUUGAAUAUUAUACUUCCAAGAUGGACUAGAAACUAUAAUGAGGACUUUGUACAGUUUACAAUUAAGUUUAAAUACUUUAAAAUCAAUAAGUGGCAAAAGAAAGUAGAAAAUAAAAUAAAUACACUAAAACGUAUAUGCGUUAUGUGUAACCAACCAAUAUUAUACAGCAUGAAAUGUAUGUGUUGACUGCCAAGUAAAUGGCAGUUUAAGAAAAACUAGCUACAGAAGGCAAAUAAUUGUAUAAACCCCCAGACGGAAAAAACACUUAAAAAUGUACCUUGCUUAUAGUAUUUAUGUAACAGUAAGCAUACUCAAAAUAUUUUACAUAGGUUGACUGAAAACUACAAGACCCUGAACACACCUAGAUAUUCCUUGAGGUAAAGGGGUAGCAGCUCUACUGGCUUGAUUAGGCUGGCCAUUAGCAACAUUUUGUAUUUGGUUCUGGCUGACCUGCUGCUGCUGAGACUGUUGAACUUGUUGUUGUGGCUGGGCAUUUCCCGACUCUGCUGGUAAUGGUUUUCCAGUCACCCCUUGAUUUGUAGAAUUAGUUCCUUGAGGAAGCUGGGAUUUUUCAGCUUGUUGGGUAUAGCUAGAACCCCUUUGUUGGAAAAAUUUGUUUGAUGAGUUAUAAUUGUAGGAAUAUAAAUGUUGGAUCUUCUGAAGGACCUCUUCAACAGGAGGUGGAGGACCAGGAGAUUUCGCAUGUCUAUAUCGGCAAUCAGGCCCAUUGGGACAAAAUCCCAACUUGUACCUGCAGAUGCAAAAGUUUUAAAAUUAGAAGCUAAUACAAUCUUAUUUAUCUUAUGCAAAGAAGUUAAAGUAAUAAACAAUUGAACUCAACAAACAUAGAAUGAAAAACAUUUUCUUAGACAAAAAAUGAAACUGGGGUAAAAACUCAAAUGAAAUAAUAGUUGUAUAGCGUAUAUCCUCCCAGACAACACUGAAAGAAAAAAAAUAGAGGACUGCGUACAUAAUCCAAGCAUAACAAACCAGUAAAUCCCUCCUAACUCUUUGAAUAUUCAUCAAAGAAGGCAACUUCGUGUAAAAUAUCAUAAUGAUGCGAAGAAGCAAUUAGUAAUGCUCCAUCAAUAACAAAUAAGGUAGAAACUUAUUUGCAAAAACUCAUUUCCCUCCAGUGAAAUACACCACAGAUUAUCACAACGCCAUAGAAUCUCACCCGUCUCUCUACCCUCAACCCCUGAUACGAGUCACAAACUCCUCCAACUAUUAUGGUCUACUAGUCAACCCUCUGCUAAGAAAUCGAGCCAAAGCUAAGCAAUCAUCCCAAAAAAUCCAACAGCUAGAAUGCAAUGUAAAAUCAAAGUAGAAACUAUAAUUCAAAUGUUCAAUCAUAGAAAGAAGAACAAAAGUACUGAACAUUUGAUCACCUUGCCCAUUCACCGCCUUCCAAGUCUCCAUCAACCAGUCUAAAACCCUAUACAAAAUAUCACUCAAUUCAUCUAAUCAAACGUCCUCGGUUAUAUAUAUAUCAAGCAACUUGGUAGUACGUACAUAAGAUUUUCUUAAACCAAUAGACUUGAGAGCACAGAUCCUUUACACCAUUACGCACAACCAAACCAGAAACAACUCACACACAAUAUGACAAUAUUCAAUCAAACACAACCAAAACUCAACAAAACAAAAAACCUUUAAAAAAUUGAAUACCAGUCUUCACAACCUAAAUAAGAAAGAACAAUACAUACACAAACAUGUACAUAUACUCAUACACUUACAUGUUACACUCCUUGAUGUCUUCAUUCGUGUGUUUAUACACGCAAUCCUGUUCUCGACACUCUCCAUAGAGCCUGAAGAAUCGGCAAACAGGCAUCCGCGCCUUGUCGUACUGGUGCAGAAACCCACACGCGUCGCCCUUCAUGCACAGGCUGCGCAACCAGUGCCGGCAUACCGUCUGACGGAAGCUCCGCCGCCCGGGGACGUUGACGGCCGCGGGUUCGGUUCCGGAGGGGGUUGGGGCUGGAGGACCACCGUUGGACACGGCGGAAGCGGCAGCGGAGGAGUCGUGCUGGACGAGCGGGCCGGAGGGAGCGGCGGCGGCGGAGGGAGCGGUGUCGAGGCCACCCUCGAAAUCGAAGCUGAGGACUCCCUCGGAAUCCUCCAUUGGAAUAGAAGAGUGGAUUUGAAGCGAUUAGGGAUUUGAAAGGGGCGUGUGAAUGUGAUGCAUUCGGAGGCGACGGAAGAGUUUGUCACUGUUGUGGAAGAAAUAGGAGAGACUGAAACGGAAAAACUCAGCUUGCUGGUUCCUGAUUCUGGAGGGCGAAAUUGGGUUUUUGUUUCUUUUGUUUUAGGUUUUUCUUGGGUACCAUAUUUUUUCUUUUGUUUUAUGUUUAAUAAGAAUAAAAAUGGUCUUGAUUUAUAUGGCUAUUCUCAAAGUUUGGAGUUGUUUUUUGAGAUGAUAUUUUUGUGUGUAAUUUUUGGAUGAAUGAAAAUCACAAUGAAAUAAGAGGUAUUAAAAUUACUUCAAAGAUUAAAUCAGUGAAAACUUAGGAUAAAAUGUAUUAGUAUAGUAUGUAUUAUAUAAAAUAAUAUUUGUCUUAGAGUCUUUCCUUUGAGUAACAUCUUUUGUUUAGCUCUCUUUUCGAUAAAUUUUAUAACAACUAAAAUCGAAAUUACUUAUUUAUCAUGGAUAAAAACCAUUAAAAAUAUCCACAACAUCGCAUUUCAAAUAUAUUUGUCAAGUAAUAUUUCAUAUACCGGACAAAACAAGAAUCUCUAAAAAUAUUAGCUUAACUAUAGAAAAUAACUAAAGAAUAUGAAUUCACUUUCUGAUUGAAAUAAUGUCGAGCUAUAUUUUGCUAAAUCGGUUAUACGUCUGAACAAAUUUUAUCAGUCUUCUAAUCGACCACAUCCACCUCUCCGUUGAAAAAGGUUGUGUGCAACACUACGUAACCUCAUACAUCCACUUGAUCUCCCAUAAAACCAACAAGACAGCCAUCAAAUGACUUAAGCCGGUUUAAAAGAAUUUGGAGUCAGUGGUAGGUAUCCCAAAACAUCACAUCAGUUAAACUUCUCUGAUCAAUCAAUACCCAAUGUACAUUACGACCCAUUGUGAUGAGUGGUAACACCACAGGAUCAUUCUCGUGAGAAAAAACAUCUCCCAAUUCAGCAGGUGUAAUAGAGAGAGGGAAUCAAAUGAGGCUUGGGCGCAUGGAUUUCUAAGGAAAAAAUUGCCCUAGAAUAUCAUUUUUGGUUGGACGCCGAGGACCCUCCCCCGAAAAACCCUCUUGUUAUAGUAUGAAAGUCUCCUAAGAUCGGAGCUCCGUGGUCACGUCUUUUCGGCUAACCUUCAUCUUCUCGUUCCUUCUCUUGAGGAUUUUGAAGAUACUUUGUUAAAUAUCCUCUUUUAACUAACCCAACAAGCUGAUAUGACAAAGUCAAACAUUGCUCAAUAUCGUGACCGCGGGCUCGUUGAGACUCGCAUCAAGCUUCAUUUUGACUUCCCAGUGUGCAAUCAAUUUUCUUCAGGAAUUGCAACUUAUCAACAACAACUUCUUUUGUCAUUAGUGACUUAUGCGAUGUGUUAAACUUUAGACGAGGCAAGUCAUAUUUUGGUUGGCCCUUUCUUGCACUGUCUUUCUUGGCCACAAACAAAAUAUAUCUAUUAUCACAUCGUCGACCAGAGGUCGUUUCAUCAGUCUUCGAUCCGAUGAUCUCAUUCGUUGUCUUUGUAUCUUCCUUGCAUUUGUUGUUCAUUCGCUUUUUUUUUCUUCGGAUCGCCUCCUCUGCCUUAAUAUGGGUUGAAGCUCAUUCUCAUACUUCGGCCAUAGACUUCGCUCGGUUUCGAAGAAAUGAAUCACUAAAUGGGUUGACUCAAAGUCUUUUCACGAACGCAUCCACCACCAUCUUUUCAUUUGGGUUUUGGAGGCUUACCAAAACCGCGCAUAAAUGGUUUAGAUAUUCUUUGAGGGGUUCUCCUUCCCGUUGUCUUACAUCGAAAAGGUCGACCAAUUGAUGUUAUUUUACUUUGUUGGUCGAUAAUUGUUCCUUCAAUACCCUGGAGAAUCCUUGGAAUGAGGUAAUGUAACCAUUUGGGACUCCAAUGAACCGUUGAAGGGUUGUCAUAGUGAACAUGCCCAUGAAUAUAUUACAACGUACAGCGUUCGACCCGCCAAAAAUUAUAAUUUGGACUCGGAAUGCUUUCAGAUAACUUUUUGGGUCUUCCAUCCUAAAAAAAGUUUGUUAGAGUUCAUUUUCUAGUGUUCCUCAUGUUGUUUGGCUAUUGAUUUUUGAGUUUUGGGUGUUAGGGUGUUAGGGUGGUGAGCAUGAUCAGUUUUACAUGUCCCCAUAGUAGUAGUCGCCAAAUGUUUUCACCAAGCUAAAGGUCGGAAACUUGGAGGUGAUUUCCAACAUGAUCUCUUUACAAAUGUAGCUCCUAAAUGUGUGGAAGUCACAAUGAGACGAAAGAGACUCUACCGAUAGACAAUACUCUAACAAUAAAACAAUAUUUACAUUAUUAUUGAGAGUUUUCCCAUUUUAUAGCAUCUUCUGCUCAUUCUUUUUUAAGAAUUAUAUAACAACUAAAAUCUAAAUCACUCAUUCAUUAUAUAAAAAUCAUUAAAAAUACUCACAUCAUCACAUUUUAAGUAUAUUUGCCAAAUAAUAUUUCAUAUAACAACAAAACAAAAUUCCUGAAAUAUUAACUUAAUUAUAAAAAAUUACAAAUUUAUCUUCUCAUCAAAAUAAUGUUGAGCUCGAUGUCAGCUAACCGAGCUAUUCUAACGAGUCUCACAUGGCCAGUACAAUGGCAACUCCGAUAAAAUAGUCGGAAAAUUUUAAAUUCUUUAAUAUGGUUUAUAACUUAUCCUCUGUGCUGAGUAGAUACUUUUAUCUCUCAUUUUAAGAUAAAAACAUUUGAUAACUUAAUCUAGAAAAUCUUAUUUAAUUUCUAAUUUUGUUUGUAUUUGUUAUUUCUUAUAUUUUUAAUUAAUUGAAUAUUUUUUUAUAAUAUUUUAAUAACUAUGUUAGAUCUAGAUUCAAUUCAAGCAAAAUAAAAAUAAAUAAAAUGUAAAUAUAUUAUAUCUAGUACUGAAUUCAAGAAUAAAUAAAUAUAUAAAGCAUAUAUAGAAUUAAAUAUUUUUAUCAAAAUUGCAUAUUUUCUAAAAUAAUGGUACUUAAUAUCUCUAUCUUUAAAUAAAUAAUCAAAAUUUUGGAUUAAACAAAAAAAUAGAAGAACCAAAGUUCUAUUUAAACUUAAUUUUAAUUAUUUGUCAAAAUAUUAAAAAGGUACACAAAGAAAUCGCUAAAUAAGUCUGAUGUUUAUAAUUUUUUUGUAACUUCAAAAUUUUCUGUGAAUAAUAAAGAAUAUACUCAAACGAGUGUAUUAAAAGAAGAAAUUACUGUAUAAUAUCAAUUAUUCCAACUUGUUUUUCUGAGGCUUAUAACUAAGUUUUAUUAAUUCUUAUUUAUAAAUUAAAAACUAUAGUAGAUGUCUUAAAAAUUAACCGAAAUAAUAAUCAAAUGAUAAUCUCAAAAUUGUAAAAUUACAAAUUAUAAUAAGUUGUUGAAUACGAGGGAGGAUAAACUGAGUGUUACUAUCUUUAGGCGUAGAUUUAAGAGACAAACUCUGUUCACAAAAACAAAUUAAGUCUUGUCACUAUAAAACUGGGUUUCUAAACAAUUUUAAUAUACUGACAUAUUUUACAGACAAUUUUAAUAAACUGAAUUUUAACACCUCAAACGAAAAAACAAACAUAGUAAAGAAGCUUUGUUCCUUCACCUCAAUUCCUUUCUUCAUGAAUACUUUAAAAAAUAUCUAAAUUACCUUUUAUAGUUUUUAUAAAAUAUUUUUUAUAAUUUUAGAAUGUGAAAUACGAAGAAUCAAUUUGUAAAAUCUAAAAUCCAAAAUUUAAAAUUGAUAAUUUAUAUUUUAAAUUGCGUAAUCCAAGAUACAUUUUGAAUAUAUGAGCUACAGAGAGAAAUCAUAGGAUGCACAAAGAGAUCGUCCAUAUUUUAUAUCUAUCAAGAGGCCGGAUCCAAAAUAAAUCCAUUUUCAGGAAUUACUUUCUGAGUGUUUCUUCCCGUAUCUCCAUAUGCUAUUCUUUCACCUCCAUAAAUUUUUUAUAUUUUAAAAAGUCUCUUUAUAAUAUUUCAGAUUAGAUAAUUCAGAAGUCUUUUUUCAAAUUCGUAAUUAACUUUCGAAUUAUGUAAUCCAAAUUUUUUUUUCCAAAUUCAUGAUUUCGGAUUACAUAAUCCAGAAGUCUAGAUUAGCUUUCAGAUUAUGUAAUUCAUAAGUUUUUUUUCAAAUGCGUGUUCGGAUUACAUAAUCUACAAGUUAUUCUGAGAUUCAGAUUUUUGGAUUAUAUAAUCUAAAAUACUAUUUUUUUAAAAUAUAUUAUGAAUUACAUAAUCCGUAAGUCAUUUUUAAAUAUGAGAUUAACUUUCCAAUUAUGUAAUCUAAAAUAUUGGGGUGCCACAAGAAAGAUAAAAAAAUAUAUGGAGUUACAGGAAGAAACAGUCUUACUUUCAGUCCCUAAUCAAUUGAACCUUCUCUCCAUUUUUAUAUGAAAUGAAAAAAACAUUUUUAAAUAAGAGUGGGAGGUACAGAUAAAAGAUACUUCCAAAAUCCCCUUUUCAAAAUAUGUUUCUGAAUUUUAAUUUCCAUAACACUUUUCUAAUUCUGAAUUUUCUUUUUUCAGAUUUUUUUUCUGAAUUUUCUUAUUUUCGAAAUCUAUUCCAGAAUUUCAUUUUGUUUUAUAGAAUGUAUUUUUGAUUCCAGAUUUCAUUUCAAACAUGAAGGAUAAAUUUGGAAAUUUCAAAAAGACAUUAUGCGCAGGUCACAAUUGAUAAGGAAGAAAUUGUCCAAUUUCUUUUAGGGAAAAACCAUUAGCAUUUCUAUUUUACUUUAAUUAAGGAAAAUAACAAUAACUAUUGAACCCAUCAAAGCUUCCCACAUAGAAUGCACCAAAUUGUUACAGUCGCCCGAAAUUGUCUUUUAAGUUGUUUCAGGGACUAUGGCGGUAUAAUAUAGGAAUGGGCAGAAUAAAAACACUUGGUAUUUAAAUCUGAUACUGUAGCAUACUAAUUAAACCGAAGUAACUUAAAACAUCAAAAGAUUCAAAGACUGAAUGAAGUGGAAAGAUAAAAUUGACAAAGUAAUCCUCCAAAACUGAAGGAAAAGUGUACACUUAACCCACCGUUACCUUUCAGUACCAAUAUCAGGUACCAUCUCAAUAGCCUGUAAUAUCUAUUGCAAUUUAAACAAAUUCUAUAACAAAUGAAUACUUAGUAAUCAUAACUACAACAAUUAUGUCAUAUAAUUAACAGUAAAUUAUAUUGUACAAUCUCAAAUACAAUCCAAGAUUCACCAAUCUAUUCCCAAGUCUCUAGAAACAAAGAGUUUGUCAAUGUAUUGGAUUAGAGGUGCUGAUGCAGUGACAUAACUUUGCAUGUGAACUUUUGCUGACGCCUCUGAAGCAAAGAUUACAACAACAAAUACAAAAGAAAAGUGAACAUCAUAAUCACAUCAACUUCAAAUUACUAGACAAGUUUGAAUAAUAUAAUGUUUGACGAUGACUUUCCCUUUUCCUACUUUUGUACACUGGCUUGAUUUACCUUUGAGAAAGAACGGUAAAAAGCAGAACCACAAGAAACAAUAUGAUGAAACAAAUAGAAAUAAUAUCGUGUACAUUUUAACCUUUUAUGCUUCUACAAGCUGUUAAGAACAUAGUAUAUGUUUGGAUUUCUGUUAGAACAUUAAUUUGAGUUGAAAAGAAAAAGCAAUUCAUUGUAGUUUUUAGACCAACUUGAGUUUGUGGUAAAAUUUUGCUUCUAACUAGAUCUAAAAAAAAGUACCAAACAUAUUGGCACAAUAUUCAAUAAAAACUGAAAGUUGAUUUGAAUGCUCCACAACUGAAAUCCAAGCACACUCAUAGACGUGUGGCUACAAAGUAACGUUGGAUCUUAAAGAGGAAAAGCUAUAUCAUCACAUCACAAUGCGGGUGGUAGAUAUAUUACUAUGCCACAAACUUCAAGGUUAAACUAGAGAUGCAACUGCUAACUUAUAAUAGGCAGGGUAAAAUGAUUAACCAUUCCUGAUUCAUCAUACAUAGAUUUCACAUAAAUGAUAUCUCUAAAACCAACUACACUUUAAUUUUUUUUUCAGGAUUUAAAUUCCAAUAAAAGUGUGCAAGCAAGCCAAAUCCUCUACUUACCAUCUUCAUUGAGUUUCUUCAAAAGUUGUUCCUUCGUAGGAAGGACAUACAUUCCAGCAGCAACAGCCUUCCUGAUUGCCCAACCAUGGUGGGGUGCAAACACCUGAUCAUAAGCUUUGGAAGCUGGAUCCUUAAGGGAAUUAUUCCUGCCAAAAAAGUCAUCCAGUAACUCACUCAUAUACUAUCAGGUCUAAUGCCAUGCGUUUAUUACACAGAAGUAUUUGCUGACUUAACAUAAGAAACAAACUUUUGCUAACAUUUACCAACAAUGCAACCCCCCUCCGAACAAUAAGGCUGUGGAUAUAAAAAAAAUGGAAAAUAUUCUCAAUUUAAUCAAUUGCUAUUAUUUUUCUGUUUCAUGAAACUGAUCGGGAGUAUGCAACUGGUCACUAAUGGUCAGUUACAAAGGAAACACAACAGGUAAGACAAUUAGAUCAGUUACCAGCCUUAACAGAUUGCAACCAUUUUUUAUGGAAUGAACAUCGAAAAUGACAGGUAUGAAGAACAACCAUAAAUGAACAUUUAGUUCAACACUUAACAGAUUCUUUUAAAGGAAAAGCACAAAUUUUAGGCACCACCAACACGGCCAAUAAGAUCAAGGUGUUACAAAGUUGAAGAUUGGACACACAGCUAGGCAGGCCUCCUACUUUCCUCCCAUAUUCUACUGUUCAGAAACACAAACUAAAUAAACAAUUGAAAAUAAGUGGUAAAUAUGGAACUUUUAUUCCUUAUGCCUUAAGUCAUAGAAAGCAAAAGGGAAAGACCUCAAUCGUUACUCUUCUCUUUUCUCAUGGAAGAAAGCAGCUUACCCUUCAGUUUCAUUGCACUCUAUUUCCACUCUUAGGCAAGGUUCUAGAAACGGUCCACAAUCAAGAUUUUUGGUGUCUCCUUGACCAUAUUACAACUGCAGUCCCGUUUCAGCAAAAUCAAGGACGUGACCAAGCUACAACCACAACUUAAAACCUAGCUCUUCAAUGUCUUAAAAUUAUUCAAUGGAUAGCAGCAUAUCAAACGUGGAAUUCUUUAGUCCUAUUGUUUUAGUCAUACAAAGCAAAAGGGUAAGACCUCAAUUAUCACUUUUCCACAUUGACUAUUGCGUACCCGUGGAUGAGUAAUGGAAGUUACUCCUUUAUUUUCAUUGCACUCUAUUUCCACUCCUUUGGCAAGGUUUUAGAUAGCAGCCCGCAAUCACAACCACAGUUGCAACAAUAAGGUUUUUGAGGUCUCUUUGACCAUAUUGCAAAAGCAGUUGCAGUCCAUUUAUAAACUAAAUUUCCAAAUAUCAAGCAUCGCGACUAAACCACAACCACAAUUUAAAAUCUCGCUCCUUAGUGUCUUAAAAUGAUAAUUCUUAUUCCUCACAGUUUCAUUCAUAUAAAGCUAAGGUGGAAGAUCUCAGUCGCCACUCUCCUCUUUCCCAUGGAUGAAAAACAGAAUCUAUCCCUUCAUUUUCACUGCACUCCAUUUCCACUAUCUGGCAAGGUUAUGAAAACAGUGAACCGCAGCAAUUGUGAUGGUAAGGUAAUACCAAGAUUUUGGAGGUCUCGACACCACAUCACAACUAAAAUUGCUACUGUAACAUCAAGGUUUUGGAUGCCUUACCUACCAAGUCGCAACCUAAAUUGCAGCCACAAUUUUCGAUAACAUCAACAAUGACAAUUACGGUGUCUUAAUAAAAUUGUUCAAAACACAAUGUAGCAAAGUUUAAAUAGAAGAAAUUAAGCAAAUAGUAAACCAGUGAGUGACGCACAUACUCAGUAACUAGAAUCUGCUCAAAGAGUACUCUGACCAUGUCAAGUCCGCGCUUCACUCUGAGAAGAUUCCGCGUGUGGCUACCUCCCUUCUUGACAGUGCCACCACGGACAUCCAGCUCAAUCAGAGAGUGUAAGCUCUGAAUAGACUUCGACGCCUCAGCCAGAUCAUGAACCUGCCAUCACCAUAUCAAACAAUCAACCACGAUCCAUUCCAGAAACUGUCACAACAAACAGCAUCGAGUGAAAAAUAAAUAAUAAAACGGUUUAAUCGAACAAUCCUGAGUGACGGAGUGGAAUACCUUGGCAACGUAAUCCAUCUCGGCGAACUUGAAGGCGACGCCCAAGCAACCAAAGAGAGGGGAGACGAGAGCGCAGGCAUGGGAGAAGGGAGCAACCUUCACCUCCGCACUCGGCGAAUCGGCGACGACGCUUGCGAGGUCCUUGAAUGCCUCUGCAAUUCUCGGCAGAGUUCUGUCACCAUUUCCCUCUGCCAUCCACAACGAUGAUCCUUCUCUUCGCACUCUUCCUCUGUUCGGCUCAAUUCCUUCGUUUGCUUCUUCGGCUUGUUCUUGCAACUUCUUUCUAUGCGAUUGCUUCUUCCAAAGGGUAAAGUCUGCUUCACCUACUUCAAUUUUACAUGGAAUCUCGUUUUAGUUUUUAUGCUUUUAAAAAUACGAUUUUAGUUUUGUAUUUUUCAAAUAAGAACAUACAAUUAUAACUUUUCUUUAAACAAAUGUUUAAAAAACAUCUCAGUUUAGGAAAUGAAAUGAGGAUUAAUCCUUAGAAUUUUUUCCGAUCUUUAUAAUUUUUUAUCGAUUAUGAAUAAGCAUGUUUUGAUUUCAAAUUCAUUGAAAUGUCGUAAUGGGUCAAUCAUAUGUAUUUAAUGUAUUUUCUGUUAUCAAGUUCAGAGUAUAUUUAUCAAUUAUUCCAUCAAAGAAAUUAUUUAUUUUCAAAUUCUGAAUUUCGUCAUAAAUUUAUUUUUAAAAAACGUCUUAAUAUUAUAAGAGAAGAAAAAUGUAUUUAAAAUGUACUUCAUUUUUAUUUCUGAACUAUGUGAAACUACUGACCCUAUCAUAACAAUAUCCAACACAUUUAAAAAAACAUUUCUAAAUACUUAAAAUUUGUAAAAGUUUAAAAAUAAUUAUAGGAGCCUGGCCUAAGCUCCAUUUAGGUCACGCACUGAAUACAUCAAACAAAAAUUCACCAAAUUCAACUUAUAUCAGAAUUAUUUAAUUUAAUUUAAAUCAUUUUACAGAUUUUUCAAACAAAUUCAUCACAAAAAGGAUGCUAGUGGUGUGAUAAUAGCAUGUGAUUUUGAAUAUUUGAGUUUGGUAUUGAAUUCUCCAUGAAUUCAUAUAUGUUCAAACAAAAUUAUGAGGGAAGAACUGUGUUUCGCUUUUUUGUAUUUCUCACGUUCUUAUGCACGUUGAACAAAAUAUCACUAUCAGAUAGCAUUCACAACCAACAAUGCAAUGCAAACACUCAAAGUUAGUAACUAACUUUGUAUGUUUUAAUUUUAGGUUAAUACAGGGACAAAUGAAGCAAGAGAAAAAGAAGAAAGCUCAACAGCCCAAAGUGCAAGCAUGACACUAUUUUUGACGAGCAGAUUGGGAUAUAUUGUAGAUGGUGUGGUUGGAUCGAGACUGAAAUCAAAUAUAUCACGCCACCAUUUGUAAGUACUGUUUGGACUUGAUGAUUAUUUGUAGAAAAAUAAUUUCAUUACUUUUGGAUGUUAAGUGUUAUUAUUUGUUGAACUAUGAUGAUACACCACUAUUGUUAAGUAUAUAUGUGUUUUUUUCUUAUUUAGAAAAGAAAAAACAGGGAUUGAUUGCUGCUGCAAAAACCAUAGGACUUAAAUAAGUUUUUGCUACUUUGUGUUUUGUUCUGAUUUGAUGUCAUGUUUUAUGAAAUCCAUAGGUUGAUAAAAACUACUGAAGUACGGGUCAUUUUUGGGGUUGUGCUUAAUACAGGUGGAUUCUAAAAGAUAUGGUGGUAGAAGGGUGGCAACUGAUGGAAGUAAUAUCUUGAAAUUAGAUAGGACUCUGUUGAAUGAGUCUGGUGAUGAAGAUCAAACUGCUGCUGCUACUGAAGAAGAUGUUGCUCCUGCUGCUACUGAAGAAAAUGCUGAUAUGGAAGCUGGAAGAGAUGGUGCUGGUAGUUAUGAAGCUGGACAAAAUGCUGGUGAGCAUCACAUCCAUGACAUCCAUGUCACCCUGUGAAAGGUUGAUAUUGAGCAAAAUGAACAGUUUUGUGGUCAACAAAGGAAUCACCAUAAAUUUUGUGUAUCUCGCUUAAGAUUUUGAUAAGCAAAUUGAAGCUAUCCAAAAUCAGCUCUUUGGAACUCCAGUAUGGGAAAGAUGAUUGAAGAUUUGUUUUAGUCUUAAGUCUUUUGUUGUUGUUCGAUUUAUGAUGAACAAUCUUAUAUUUGCUGGGUUUAUUUUGUUUGAACAAUUUUAUAUUGUUAAAUUGUUUUUAUACUCUUUUAUUCUAUUUGUAAAGACAAACAGGGGAAGAAUAUGUUGGUUUAUUUGCUAUUUGAAACUGACUUUUGUGUUGAUAUAUUGUUGUGCAUGAAACUCUAAUUUUCACACUUACUUCAUUGGUUUUUCACACUGAUUUGAUUUUGUGGUUUUUCUUUUAUGAAUACAUAUCUUUUUUUUAUUAUGUUUCGAUGAGGUGGGUGUUCCUUAAAAAUUAUGAGUGUUGUUUAAGAAGAUACAAUAGGAAGUAAAUGUAAUUUUUUUAGAAAAUUAAUGUAUUUUUCCUUUUUAAAAUUGUGUUAGAACCGUAUUAGAAUUGUCAUAAAUCUAACAAAUACUUUUUGAAUUGGACACUUCACGGAUAUGCGUGUCAUACAGGUGUCAUACGAGUGUCGGUGUCCGAUACAAAAAUGACACCGACACACCAUUUUGAAAGGAGUUUUCGAGCUUUAUACAUUGUUAUUGAAAAUAAUUUAAAAGCAUUUUCUAAUAGAUUUGGUGUGUGUCCGCGAUGUUGCUUGAUCGGACCAGUGGUGCCAAAGAAGUGCAGCACGAACUUGGAGCCACCUGGUAAGAAGAAGAAGAAGAAGAACCCAAGAAACAGAAACGGGACCCUAGCACAGUGAAUGAAGAAAAGUAACAGUACACGUGUUUGAAGAGAAAAAGGAAUUCAGAGAUUAUUAUUAUUAUCUGAUAAACAGAAAGAAGGCACAGAGAAGAUAUAUACAAGGUGAUGAGGUUCAGAAUAAUAGCUAAAGCCCAAAGAGGCCCAAAGCAAAUGGCCCAAAAAAAAAUAAAAACUAUUAUACUUAACAUUUUCCUUUUCUUUACAAAAUAAUAAAAUAUAUUUUUCAAUCCUCUCUAGUUCACAGAAAUUACCCAUAAUUAUGUCUGAAUUGAAUGCAUUAAGGAUAAAUAAUAAAUGAAAGUGGUACGUAGUAGGAGAACACACGAAACCUCCAAAGAGACAAAUUACUUCAAAAAGAAAAUCACCUAGCCACGUUUUGUCACCGAUACAUCAACUUAAUCCAAAAUUAACUCUUUAAAAUUGUAACUAACACUUCAAUUUCUAAUUGUGUGAAUAAUGGUGGGGUUGUAGUAAUUAAUAUUACAUUUUAAUAAACUAAAAAUAGUGAUGGCUGAUAGCUAAUGGUAGGAUUGUAGUAAUUAAUAUUUCCAUUAAUUAUUUAUUUGGUCACCAAUACCAUUUUCCUUAUGACAAAUUCAACAUGAAUUAUUCUCUCUAUAUCUUUCUUCUUAAUUAGCUGUAGUUCAAGUUUUUUUAUUCAUAAUCAAGUUGAAUUUGUAAAUUAAGUCAUUCUUUAAAAAAAAAUAAACAAUAAAUUGAAAGAAAUUUAAAAGAGAGGUGGAUCAGUUGAUAGACAAAUUAAAUAAAACUUAAAUUAAUAUCUUUUUCAUCUUAUUUAUAAAAAAAAUAACAAUACAUAUAAAUGAAAAUAAAAAAAUUAAAUAGAGUAAAAAUCACUAAAUUUUUUAUUAAAAUCUAAUUUUCACUAUUAGUGAUUAUUGCAAGAGAAGACAAAAGGUUGUAAAAACUAUUGAACUUCAAUAAUACUAACAGCCCGGUAAACUGACCAUUAAUACAAUAAUAACGGUAGUUUAAGGGUAAUGAAUUAGAAUUAAUAAUAAUAAAAUCUGAAUUAAUAACAACAUCCUCCCUUAAUUCUGAUUUGGAACAACCUUCGUGCCCAACCAAUGAUUUAGUGAUAUUUAUCUGCAAUCUGUUCUGAUCUAAAGUAUUCCAAUUUGAUCAUGUUCUUCCCAACUUAUCUUGUAGGAAGUCGAAUAUCAAUGUGUUUACUUCUUUGAUGAAAAACCCUGAUUUUUUGUAAGAUUAAUUGCAGAGACAUUGUAAACAUAAAUCUUAAUAAUUGGAACAUCUAGAUUAAAACCAAUUUGAGUCAUGAUAUGACCUACAACUUCAGGUUGAAUUACAGCUUCAGGUUGGACUGCAGUGCUUCAGGUUGAACUCCAGGUGCUUCAAGAGUGAUUCCAUCUUCCACAUCAUCAUUCAAAAUGUAAAUAUAUCGUUUUUUUUAAUCCAUUUCAGUUGCUGCAUUCCAUUGCCAUUCCUCAUCUUCUUAAGCAUAAUUGGCAUCAUGAUUAUCACCUUUUGAUCUGCACUCAUUUGCAUAAUGGUUGCGUUUAUGACAUUUAUAACACCACGUACCCGUCCUUUGCCUCGUGAACUACCGUGUGUUAUGAUAGGAGCUACCAAUUAAGCUUGUGCUUGUAAUUGUAAAGCCGGUUCAAUUGGUUUUCAAUCUUAUUAUCAUUAAUUCACUGCUCAUGCGCUCGUAGGGAACCAGACAAUAACCUUACUGUCAUCGUUAAAAUGUCAUUGGCCUCUUCAAUUGCGGCAACAACAUGUUCAAAUCUCUGUGAGUUAAAGAUCUCAAAAUCUUCUCAAGAACUUUAUUUAUAUAUACAUCAACCGUCUUUGUGGUUUCCAUCUGCAGCAAUUCAUAUUGGCGUCUUAGGCCUUUUGAUCUUGUCAUCACCUUUAUAAUUGGUUGACAAAAUUGUCCAAGCCUCUCACUGACAGUUGGUGCUCCUCAAACGUCUCGUCAUUCAUCCCUUGAUGGAUUAGAUACAAAGUCUUAUUGUCCUUAUUCUUCUGAUCACGAUGCGCCUCAGUUGCAUUAGCAGCUAAUGCAGACACUCCACUAUCAACGACAUCCCAUAAUUUAUGAUAAUCAAACAAAAACUCUCAAAAGGUUGUAGAAACUAAUUGAACGUAAUUGCACAAAAUUGCAAAACUGCUGAACUGAUCUUAUUCAAUUCGAUUUACUUCAAUAAUAUAUAUAUAUAUAAUAAUAAUAAAAUUAUAAUUACUGGAACCUAUAAGAUAAGAAUACUAACACACAGACCUUCAAUAACGAUGUUUAAGAGUAAUAAAUCAACAUUUAAUAAUAAUAAAAUCUAAAUUAAUUAUCAACAAUUAUGACUCACAGUGGUUCAUUAAAUGUUUAUAUAUGAAAAUUUUAUUAAAAAAAUUCAGUACCACCUCAAACUGAAAAGCUUUGAUUUGUUUUCCUAAUUUAGGUUUUGGACGUUACUUUCUUCUAAAACAGCGUAUGUUUCUGUUGAGUUUUCAAGUUAGGAAAUUAAGACUUGUUGUGUUUAGUCAUUUGAUUAUUUGAUUUUUAGUUACCCUUUGUGCAAAUAAGCAAAUAGACAAGACACCUCCAUUUAUAACUCUCCCUGUAAAAAAAAAUAAAAGGACAAUGCCUUCUCCUAUGCUCAACUUAUGUCAUCAAUGGAAAGCACUAUUUUCCAACCACAUUCAAUUUUGGGUCACCAUUUUUGUUCUUUUCUUAAGCGUGCUGUGAGUAAUGUUAGGGGAGACUUUUCUUCUAUGCAGAGCCUCUCACACCAUAAUUUCCUUCUGCAGGUAUCUAUACUAAGAAACAAUUCAAAAAAUAACAAUAUGUAUAAUUAUUAACUUCUUAAAAAUAAUAUAGUUAAAUAAAAUCAAUAUAAAAAUUUAAAAUUAUAAUUCAUUUCAUCGUCUUUUCAAAAUAAUAGUAUGAUUUUUCUUUUUGUUUUAUAGUAAAAUAUCUUAAUUAAAUAAUACAUUUUUAUUCUCAUUAUUUUAUUUUAAUAUAGUUUGAUUCAUUCUGUUUUAUUCUUUAUAGUCAAUCCAAAUAUACAUUAAGAGCAAUGUUAUAUUUUUUAUAAAUUAUAUUACUUUAUAAUAAAAGAAUAAAUGUAUUUAAAUGUUUUAGAACGUAAAAGAAUUACAGUAGGGAAAUAUGAUAAAGGGGAGGGAUUUAAAAUUAUUGUUUUUAGUAAAACUAUAACCUGUACCAAAGUUUAUGUUGGAAAAAUUGCACCAGAACACGUAAAAGUUUGUGUUAAUAAACACUUCAAAUUGUUUAAAUUUUAUUUAUGAUGGCAAUUCCCAUUUUAAAUUGGUAUUUCUAUUUUAUUUUAUACAAUGGUGAUAAUAUGGUGGGGUUGUAGUAAUUAAUUUACAUUUUAAAUGAUAAACUAAAAAAUAGUGAUGGCUGAUAGUUAAUGGUUGGAUUGUAGUAAUUAAUAUUACAUUUUAAUAUUACAUUGACCGAAGUAAUUUGUGUUGAUUUUAUCUCUUUAGAUUGGAACCUAAAGUCAUUAUUAAAUUAAUUGCAACCAUUCAUGGUGAGAAAAUAUGAAUUCAUAAAAAUGAUUAUUAUGUUCAUAUGUUAUGCGAAAAAAUGCAGCAUAUAUAUUGGAGGAAAAAAUGCAGCACAUUGUUAAUUUCAUUAACAGGACUUUAAAAACAUUUAUAGUAUCUCUUAAAUAAUUUUAUGUUAUCUAAAAAAUAUUAAAUCAGUAACUAAAAUACAAUUAAAACAGAAAAAUAAAAUAUCAUGUGCAAUUAUGUGCAUAAAAUAUCAUGUACACUUAAGUGCAGUUAAAAAAACACUAUUCGAAUUGAAUGAAUUAUGAAAAACUGAACUAUUUCUAUUAAAACUAAAAUAAAUUAUUUUUUUUUAACAAUUUGUCAAAGCUAAACUUCUUAAAUAAUGGUUCAAUGCAAUACUUACACAAUUAUGAGAGUUGAAAACUACCUGUACUUAAUUUCACCUAUUAGUUUAGAUUAAUUUUCAAAUAUGAUUUUUAUCAAUAAAAUUGAAUAUAAGUUGUAAAAUUUGUUUGUUAAAAAUUCUUUCAAUAUUAAUCAAUGCAUCUCAAUAGAUUAAUAACUGAUGAUAUGCUUUUACAGGAUUCUUAUAUAGGAUGAGUUUGUUUGUGCUUAUUUUUAUUUUAAAAAAGUGUUUUCUUUUUAUAAAUAAUUAGAUUUCAGUUUUUUAAUGUCUUUGUCUAAUCUGCUUAUUUUAUAAUAAGCAAUUUUCUGUUAAUUUCAAUUACAAAAUCUUAUUUGCUUUGUAAAUAACUCAUUAUUUUAAAAAUUGCUUAAUUCAGAAAUACUUACAUGGCAUAAUCUCUUUGUCUUUGUAGAAAGAUUCCAGAAAUGAAUCACUCCUGUUGGCUUCAAAAGAACAGAGGAUAGUCUAUGAAAAUGUCUUAAGGCUAGUUGAAGAGCAGAAGGUUUGUUUUCUAUUUACUAGUGAAUUUCAAAUCUAGAGAGAGAGAGAAAGAGUAGGCUUAUAACCUGGAAAAACAGCUUGAUCGAAACAGAAAUCAGAAAUGAAAAUUGAAGAGCUAAAAGGAAAAUUACAAGUUAUGAAGCAUCUUUGAGAUGAAGAUGAUACAACUCUUCAGAAGAAGAUAAAAGAAAUGAAUGAUGAAUUGCAAGAAAAAAUAGAGAAUUUUGUUUUAAUGAGAUUUUUUUGUUUGUUUUUGUUUUAAUUUAUUUAAAUAUUUAAAUUUUAAAAAUAUAAAUAAUAGAAUUCAAUAUAUAUUAUAGUAAUUUAGAUUUUGAUUUAUUAAUAAGAAUAGAAAUUCCAUUUAACCUUACUUCAUCCCAAUGUCAUCCACAUUCAAAUUAUACCACAUCUAGCCAUCGGUUAAGAAGUGGGUUUUAAGCUUAACUUAAUCCAUAAAACUGACUUAUGAGAUGAGGUUUGCACCCAUUUAUAUACAAUGAAAUGUCUUCAUCUCUAGUCGAUGAGAGAUCUCGACACACCCUUCACGCCGAGGCUACCAACUCAUACGUUGAGAUAUAUGUUAUAGGUGGUCCGAUAACGGUCAAAUAGCGGGUGACCUGAUAAACUCAACAAACACUUGCUAGAUAGACUCGAAAUGACUCUAUACCAUGUAAGAAAAUGAUAUAUAAGAAAAUGGUAAGAAAAAAAGAUAUUUCUUUGCAAAAAAAAACAAUAUGGUAUCAAAAGAUCAGCAGGACAAAAAUCGUGCAAUAUGUACACAAUUAUAUGUAAUAUAAUUAUAUCUCUUUUUCUUACAAUUUUCUUAUACCAUCUGCCACAUUCACCAAAUAUUUAUUAAUUCAAUUGCAAAUUUAGAAGCAAAAGUCAAUUUCCCCCAAAACCCACUAACAAAGAAUUGCAGCGAUUCCUUUUCUACUGCUGGAAUACAUUAUAAAAAUGAAUGUUUCUGUUUUAUAAUUGCAAAAUUGGUUUGAAUAUGAUAAAAUUUACAACUAAAUUAGAUUACUCCACUAAAUGCAUUUAGAUAAUUUGGCAAUUCACUAUUUUAAAUUGGUAUUUCUAUUUUAUUUUAUACAAUGGUGAUUAUUGUGAUUCUUUUCUUUUUCCUGGAAACUGAUGAAAACAUGUCACACCACAGUGCGUGCAUGCAUGGUGCAUGGUGCAUGUCCAGUACUACUGCACCAAUUAUUUCAGUUCAUUGCAAAUUAUGAUAAUUAAUCUGUCAUUUUUGGUCCAUCUAAAUAUUUAGGAUGUUAGUUACAAAUAUUAUUUCUGAACACUUCAACCACAACAACAAGUAUCUCACAUUUGCUUUUAUAUAUUUUAUGAAGAGUUCUGAUAUUUUGAAAACGUGAAUAUAUAUUGUUGGAGAUCCCAUAUCGACUAGAGAUUAGAGUCUUUCGUUGUAUAUAAGUGGGUGCAAACCUCAAUUCUAUGAGCCAGUUUUAUGGGGUUGAGUUAGGCUUAAAGUCUACUCUGUAUAUGAGGUGUAUUUAUAAAUUUAUUUUUAUUAUUAUUCAAUAUUUGAACAAUGAAUUAUGACUUUUUUUUUUAUUUGAAUUAUUUAAAUUUUUUUAAUAUAUAAUAUCUAUAAUUAUUUGUAUUUUUUAAUAAAAAAUAUACAAAUAUAAUAAAAAAUAUUUUUGUGUUAAGUUAAAAUAAAUUUAUUAAAUAUAUUAAAAUUUAUGAAAAUAAUAUUUAUUUGUUAUUUUAUAUAAAUAUAUAUAUAUAUAUUUUGUUGAUAUUAUAAUUUAUUUAUUUAUUUAUAAUUAUAUGUUAUUAUUAAUUAUUAAUAAUAUAAUUAAAUAUUUUUAAAAUUAUUAAAUAAGUUUAUAUAAUAUUUAAUUUUAUAUAUUAUAUUAAAAUACAUACAAGAAUAUUUUAUAUUUAGGUAAAAUACAAUAAUUUUUAUAUGAAUCUCAACAAUUUUUUUUAUUUGUGUGAAAGGAGAAAACUGAAAAAGAUCUUCACUUUUUUCAUCCUUUCUCCCACUCUCAAAGCACAAAAUAUAUACACUCUCCUCAUACUUCAAAACAAACUCAGCAACAAACACAGCAUUAGCUAUCAAUAAUUAGAGAAAGAUAAUUACUAUUAUUUGAGUGAUAAUAAGUAACUGUUUAAAAAAUAAUAAUGAACAAGAAUAAUUGGGAUAAAUAAUUUAUUUUAAAUUGAAUUUUUUUUUCUUUAGGUAAUGCAAUUCUUUUUCGAAUUUUUCAAAAUGGGCAAAACAAUUCGUAAAUGGAUAAAUCAUCAAUGUAAAAUACGUUGUGAAAUAGAAUACUUAAAUAGCCUAUAUUAUAUAUUUUUUUAAUAUAUAUAAAUUAUCUUGCAGUGAGCAAAUUGUUAUUUAGAAUGACAUUAUCACCUAACAUGUAGCUGUAAAAACAGAGCUUUCAUUUUCAUUGGGCUUUGUAAUAAAUUGCAAAAAAAUAUAGGCUUGUGCUUACUAAAUUAUAUCGUUCUAAUUUAAGAAAAAAAUAUGUCAAAAUUUUGUUUUGCUUCUAAAGAUACAUGUGGAGAAGUAAUGGAACAUGUGUUUAUAUUGUUUUUUUUUCUUUUUUUCAAAAUACACGAAAUCCAUUUUUGAAUAAAAUUUAUAAGAAAAAAAAAUCAAAACGCAUAUCUUAUGAAAUGUAUUUUUUAAAAUGAGUUUUGUAGAAUUUUCGGGAACACAUCUUUAUGUAUUGCAAAAAGAACUUCUUCUACCAUAUUUUUGUGCUAAAAAAAACUUUUUGGAACAACUUUAUUUUUUUUUUUCCUUUCUUCUUUUCUCUGAUGAACAACCGUGGUAACGGUGGUGGGUUGCAGCAUGGGAGGAACAAACCGGACAAUUUUACUCAAUUAUAGUGGUACAGGUUAAAAAAUGGGGGCACAAGAAGUAAUUUCCUAAUCAAUAUUUAAGCAAAUUAAGAUAGGCCAAUUACUUUUUGCACCGUGCACCCAAUUUCAGUAUUAAAAGACAAAAGUAUCCUUAAAUAAAUUGGGGAUAUCUAUAAAAAUACAUUCAAGAUCUUCUUUAUUGAAAUAUGUUUCCAAAAUUCAUAUUGCGAAUUUUUUUAUUCAGAAUCAAAUUUGAUUUUUUUUUUCAGAUUUUUAUUUCCAAAACACAAUACAAUCUACUUUUCCAUACAACUCCAGAUUUUUAUUUCUGGAAUGAAGUAUAGGUUCAAAAAGACUGGGUGUAAAAAGAAUUUGCCUUAAGAUAGAAAGUUCAAAAUGGGCCGACACAGUGGCUUGGGCCAUGGAAUGGGAAAACAACUCUAAUCAAGGCUUUUAUUUUCUGCACCACCAUUUUUCAACAUGCACCUUUACAAUUAGGUAAAUGAUUGAAUUGUUUAGUUGUCUAUCCCUCAUUGCAGCACACAUUGUUGCCACUACUACUAACACUAGUGUACUAUCAUUAUUAUGUAAUAUUAUAUAUUAUAUAUUUAUGAUUCUUCGAUUUAUAAAUAUAAUAAUUUUUAUUAGAAUAAAUUUUAAAUAAUUUUAAUAUCAUAUUAAAAAUUGAAGAUUCGACGUAAAAAUAAAAACAUUUCAUAUUUUUAAAUGAAUACAAACAUUAUUUUAUAAAUUAGUUAAACUUAAAAUGUAUUUUCUACUACAAAUUAUAAUUUUUUUAAAUAUUAAUAUUUAUGAAGAUUUUUUUUAAUAUAUAUUUAUCAUGGAUUUAAAAUGAGUUAGAUUAGAUUGAUGAAAUUAUCUUAAUUAUACAUAAAAAUGUAUAUAUUUAAACUUCUCACACUUAAAUAAAGUAAUUUCGGUAGUUUUAUUAAUGGACAUUCAUAGAAAAAAAAAAGCACAUUGCUCGUCAUCUCUAUUUAUUUUAUAUAUUAUUGUCUUCAUUUUCAAGCGAUUAUAUAUAAAGAAAAUAAAGAAUAAUGUAUAUUUGGUGUCUUUUCUACUUUGUUGUGUACAAAUAAAGUAUUUGGGUAAUUUUCUUUUGUUUUACAUGUUUUCUUUCCUUUUCAUCUCAAUUAUACGACCACACUUCUUUCUUUGUCUUUCUUUUUUUCAGUCCUCAUCUUUGUACGCAAAUACACCACCAUUUUAUAUAGACAUGCAUAUUAACUUUAAAACUACUUAACGUAAUUUGAAAUUAAUAUUUAAUCAAAAUAGAAACAGGAUGACGAUGUUAAACUACCAAAAAUGUCACCUAUAUACUCUUAUACACUCUUAUAGAAAUAUAUUCAUCACUACAUUGUUAGAUAUGUUUCUACAAAUACACCUCAAGAACACCUGCAAAGUCUCCUUCAACAUUAAUAUCAACAUUAAUACACUCUACCACCACCCACAAAAACUCCUUUGGGAAUGCCACUCUCACUUUUCGACCCACCCUGUACCCUAAUGCACACAGACUGUGCCAAAACGUUUUUUUUUUUAAGCUAAAUGCAAAUUAUUUUAACAAAAUUCAUUUUGAAUUACAGAAUGUAAUUACAUGUAUGUUUGAAAUCAAUUGUAGUCCCAAAUUUACAUUCAAGUUGUAAUUUUUAUUUAAAAUUUGAAAUUUUGAUUUUUUUAGCACCAAGAUAAUUUGAAUAAAAAUUGAAUUUGAAUUAUUGUUAUUUAUUGUACUGGUUUUCCGUGCCAAGUAGUGGUCCUGCAUGAAAAAUCUUUUCGUAAAUUUCAAGCAUUUAUUUUCUUGGUAUAACAGCAUACUCAAUUUCAACGUGCUACGUGGUGACCACUUUUUUCAAAAUACUGAGCCUUCUUUAGGAUAGCAGCCCUACACAAAAACGUCAAUACUGUGUCAUGCGCACGUUCAAUCGUGCUACGGUAUUCAUUCUAAAUCAUGCCUGCAACUCUCCAACUAAAAUAGUUUGGACUAAAUUAACAAAUUUAAUGAUUAUUAUUAAGAGUGAAGUUUCAUUUCCAACUUUGAUUUCAAUUUUACUCAAUUUGACAGGCGAAACUAAGAAAGACAAUAAAAUAAACCCACCAAAUAUCCUAUUCUUAAAACUGCUGUAGUUUCCAAUUCUUUUAAAAGGAUGUAACUAUAUAAUGAUUCUGUGUUUCCUUUGGCAACAAUUUAAAGGUGCAAACUAUUCAAAUUUCUGAAUUGGUGCUCUCCAUUGCAUUCAUUCAGUGACAAUAAUAUUAGUAUGAGAUGAGAUGUUCUUAGCGAACAGAAAGUACAUUUCUCUCUUACAAAUCAAGCACAGAUCUAACCUUGACCAAAAAUCAUCCGUGACAAUAACCAUUUACACAAAUCACUAUGAUUAAAUACAUGUAAUAUAUACGAAAAAGUAAAGAAAAAAAUAAAUAUAAUGUAGGUAGGUAGUAGAAGUAGUAGUAAGGAUUCGGUUCUGCACAGCUCAGUCUCAAUUUGCCUUAAUUGGUCCGAAGCGGCAGCAAACCCAACACCACAAACUUAAAAACUCGCAUAAAAAUUCAACCCAACAAUCAAAUCUAACUUUGGAUGUUCUUCUCUCUAAUCUAACAAUUGGAAGACAAAGUGGACAAGGUUGUGGCAGAGGAGGUUCUGCUGGGGGAGGGUGAGGCAUUGUUGUUCUUCAACACCACCGUUGGUAGAAUACUGGUUUUUCUUCUUUCUCCUUCCUUAAUUAUCUCUCCCCCAAACAACUCUAACUUCUCCAGGUUGGAACUAUUCGCCACCUUCUUCCCCUUGAACAAAACGGCUUCAACGUUCUUCUGCCUCAACAUCUCCUCCGAAACUGCCAACAAAUCCGACUCCGUUUUGCAGGACUUCACCUGCGCACCCUUGUUCGCCUUCGCCAUAACACCGUUUGACUGAAUGCGCACAUAAUUGUUCAUCCGACAAUCACCAAAUGCCAUUGAUACGGCUUGAUCAACCUGCAUUAUUUUAUUUCAUUCCCAUUAGAAUAAAUAUCUAAACCAAUAAUUAAAGUAAACCCAUUCAUUAUUAUAUAAUCAAAUAUGGCGGAUGUGUUUGUAAGGUAGUUAACACAUUUAUUGUCCUUUCCCUAACUACCAAAUUAAUUAAAGCUCUAUAUGAACACAGCAUAUUUUAGCAAAUGGUGUAUUGUUAUCUUUAUUGUUACAUUUAAUUUAUAGGGAUAAAAAGUAACUGGGCUACAUGUAAAAAUUAAUAUCAUAAUAAUUCUAAACUGCUAAUGAUCUCUUUAAUCUAAAGUGUUUAAUUAAAAGAACAAGAAUAGAAUGGCAUUAACUAAAUUGCAUAUUGCAAUUUAUAAUAUAAAUAAAACGUUUAAGAGAAAAUAAAAUGAAACUUCAAAUUAUACUUUAAUACACAUAAAAGAGGAAGAUUAAUAAAUUUGGUAAUUCUUACCAUAUCGGAAGCUCCUUCGCCAGCGAUCUUUACGAAACCAGACGGUGAUUUAACGGCGUUAAAGUCUGACUCUCCGUUGCCGAGGGAGAGUACGAGGAGGUCGGAGACGCCGUUACAGAAAGGAAACUCGUGUUUGUUAUUGAGAACGUGGGUGAUGGAAACAGCUGUUGGAUUGUUCAUUGCAACGCCUCCACCGACGGCCAAGAUCCUGGUCCUGCCGUCGAUGGACCGCAUCUCGGUGGGGCCCGCGAAGGAAGGGUCAGCUGACGUGGCAGCGCAAACGUCGCUCAUUUUGAAAUCGUAGCCGUCCAUUUCCAGCGCGUCGGCGCGCGAGAAAACAAACGGAGCGCGUGUGACGAGGUCGUAGCACGGGAUCAGUACCGGCUUCACGGUGUCCUUCAGCGUGCACUCGCCGAACGUCCUUCGGAAGAGCUUCUCCGCCUUGGACUCGGGCCGCAGCACUCGACGAAGGAUCCCCGACCGGCGGGAGAUCCUGCGACGGUUGUCAGUGAGGAACCUCAGCGCCUCCUCGGCGGUGAACAGCGGCUGGCCAUCCUUCCCGCGUGCGAAGAGCAGAGCGACGAGGACACCACCGACGCCGGAGCCAGCGGCAGCGUCGAAGAAAUCAGAAACACGCGAGUUCGCGUCGCCGGACUUGCGGCGAAGGCAUUCCUCGAGGUGCGCGAGGGACUUCGCGGCGAGGAUGCCGUCGGUGGCGCCUGCGCCGUCAAUGCAAAGGAUCCUCACUUUGCCGGCGCUGUGUUUCGCUGGUUUCGCGUCUAUUCCUUUUGGAACGGAAUUGGUGUCGGCGUCGCCGUAGCCGAAGAGGAAAUUGUUCUCGAGAAUGGAGAAGAUUUCGUAGGUGAGCUUGUCGACUUGGAAGUUAGAGUCAAUCAUGUUGAGGUUCAUUGGAGAUGUGGACAUUGCCGCCAUUUCUGCAAUUGGAGCGAAGUUUUUGUUAGAGAGAGAAAGAGGUUUUGAAGAGAGUUUGUGUUUUGUGUUUGUGUUGUUGAAGAAUUGUGAUGCCGAAGAAAGGUGUGGAAGGUGGGUAUAUAUAGUGAGGAAUGAGAGUGAGUGAAUGUGACGAUCGAAGAACAUUCCACAUCCCUGUGGUGGGCGAUUAAUCGGCACGCGAUUUGUGUUUUCUUUUUUUUCUCUGAAUUUAAUAAUCCGUGUUAAAGGAUUGGACAGAGUGAGCGAGGGAACUGUUUGCUACUUUUGAAAAUAGUAGUAAUAGAAGAAACCACCAAUUAAAAAGAAAAAAAAAUGAUAAAACUUAUUUAGUGUCUAAUAAAAUUAAAAAAUGUGUUAAAGAAUGGGAGGGAAUUGUAUUUGAGAUGGGUGAAACUGAUGGUAGUUUGGAAAAACGAAGAGAAAAGCGAUGCGUUGAAAGGAAAGUAAAAUUGGGAGACCACAAACAAAGUUCCAAUUGAAGGACUUUAUGGUAUGAAUUUAAAAUGUUGUUGGUGGGUACAGUGUUUGGUUAGUCUUCUUCUUUCUCUUUUUUUGUUGCACCCUUUUCUUCCGUGCUGUUGCUUUAUUCUGCUCGCUUUCAAUUCAGAUUGUAAAUUUUAAAAACUUAGUGCGGGGAAUGUCAUGGUGCUGUUUCGGAAACGGAACUCUCUUCUCCUUAUUCUACUCUUUCACAACUAUAAUAUUCCACUUAUCAUUAUUUAAGUAAAAGUGUUUUGCUACACUAAGUUUUUUUUUUCUAUUUUUUUAGGAGUGCCAAGAGAAUGUUAUCUUAAAAUAUUGUUGUUUUUCACCUGUUUAUUAUUCGUUAAAUCUCAUCCAUUUCCCUUCAAUAGAUAAAUCAUUGUAAAAUCAAGUGAGUUUUAUACACCAUCAACAUAAAGAUCACUUACAAUAACUUUUAGAGUUAUUAGUAGAUUAUUAUAUUAUAUGUUACAAAGAGUAUAUUUUUUUUCUAUGCAAGGUACGUAGUAUAAUAAUAUUCAAGGCUAAGAUACUUUCCUUUUGUUUUAACAAUACUUUCCUUUUGUUUUAACAAGAGUACUUUGGUGUGUGUUUUCAAUAAAAAAACGUUUUUAGCAAUUUAUUUCUUAACUUUUUUUUAUUUCUUUUAAUUAAUCUAUUACAUUUGAAAUUGUUUUUCAACUGAGUAACAUGCUAUUUUAUGUUGUUUUGUAAAUGCAAAGUAUAAUUUACAUUACAAAAAAAUAUCUAAUGUAAGAUAUAAAAGAAACAUAAUAUUAUAAAAAAAAAUCAAUGUUAAAAUGACAUAAUGCUCAAUAACUAUUAAAAAAUAUAUAAUUACUAAAAUUUCAAAAUAAAAUAUUAAAUAAGGACAUAUUAUUUUGUUGAUAUACGUGAUUUUAGAAAAUUGAUUCUUAGUCGUAUUCAUGUAUUGUUAAUUUUGAUAUUAUUUUGCUGAUUUACGUAAUUUUGGAAAAUUGAUUAUUACUCGUAUUCAUGAAUUGUUAAUUUUGAUAUUCUGUUAAUAUCAAGACGAGUCUGAAUAAUACACGUGGAUACGAUUUUUUUUUAUCUCAACUUAAACUUAUAUAAAUACAUUUACACCUUGAAAAAUGAGUCCUCUUUCUAAACUAUUCAAAGAAUUUUAAUUGAGACACAAAAUAUCUUCAUGAAUGUACACAUGAUGGAAAAAAACGAUAUUUACAUCAAAGUUUUUCAACUCCAUAUGACAUUAAAACUUACUAAUAUACAUCCUACCAGGUUUAUAUAUUAUAAUUUAAUUUUUAAAUGAUAUAAGAUAUAUUUUACUACACAAAUAAUACACCAAGAUUUAUAACAAAAUUUAUUAAGAUGUUUUUUUUAUAAUAUUAUGUUAAAAUAACUUAAUACCACAAAAUUAAUUUCUGAAGUGACAUUUACAUCUUAUCUAUAUAUUAUAAUUUAAUUAAGUGUAUAGGUGAUGUGAGGUUUCAACCAUAUAUAAGUUGAAUAUAUUUUUAGUUUUUAAUGUUUUUGCUAAAACUUGUUUUUUUUUCCUUUAAUUUUUAGAAGAUUCACUUUAGUUAUUUUAACUUUCAAAUUUGAGUUAGCAUUGGUGUUUUAAUCUUGGUAUAUAGUUUUGAAUAUUUUAAAGAUUAAAAUAUGAAAACUGAUUUUAAUAAAGAAACAAGAAUAAACUAGAUAUUUGAAGCUUUAAUUUAUGAAAAAGGUGAAUGCAUGCUUUUAUAUUUUCUCCCUGGAAAAUGAUUUAAAAUUUUAUGAUAACAUCAUAGAAUUUGUUAGAGUGAUGGGAAGAAAUUAGAAUGAAAAAGAAAUGAAAAACCAUUAAAUAGAGGAAUAAAGGAGUGAUGUAUGGGAAGGUGGUGUUAACACGUGUGUACGUAGACAUAAUUUGGACAGUGUAGCCUAGGCACCAAGGUUGUACUAUCACUAUUUCAUAGCUCAUCGUUUUCCUUUUUUGGACUGUUUCAAGUCUCUUCCUCUUCUUAUCAUUGUCAUUCACACACUCACCAAAGGAAGGUCGGUUCUUUUGUCUUUCAUUCUUCAGAAAAACAAAGGGAAAAGAUUUAUGAUCACACUGUAAAAACAUAUAUUGACAUCAUAUUAUAAUAAUAUUUAAAAUUAAUAAAUAAUUAAAUAUUAUAAAAUAUUAUUUUAUUAUUUUUUGAAGUGAAUAAACGCUACAAGAAAAUAAAAACCAAUUUUAGAGACAAAAAAUAAUUAGUUGCUAUAGUGACUAAAUUAUAUAUCAUUUUAGAGGUGGUUUCUCAAUUAGUUUCUAUUAUUGUUAAAUAGUUUUUAAAUUGAUAUCUAUUACCAAAGUUUUAACUACCAAUUAUUUAUAUUUUAAAUUUGGUAGAAAAAUCUUGGUAACUAAUUAGAUAAUAAUUUAUAAAUCAUUUAACAAUAAUAAAAAUUAAUUUAAAAACAUUUUUUUUAGUUUCUAAAAGAAUCUUUAAUUUAGUCACCAUAACAACUAUUUUUUUGUCUCUAAAAUUGAUUUUUAUUUCAUAAUUUUCUUGUAGUAACAUUUAUAAUGUUAACAUAUCACACUCAAAACAAAAAAACAUUUUUCAACACUUUUAACAGCUUUUUUGAGUUACCAUCUCUUAAAAUAAUAUUCACAUAUAUAUUUAACGGAAAUUUGUACAAAUGGUGAGAAGCUGGAUUUUUUAAUAAAUAUAUUUUCAAUUGGUCUCCAACAAGGGAUGAAUCUUCAUCUUAAAGAGAUUCUCCAGUGUAUGAGUAAGUAAGAUUAUAAAGAUGAUAAGAGUAUACAAGAAUUAAAAGUAUCCAAUAAAAUACAUUGAGAAUUGAGAUUUGUGUUGAUCCUUGACUUGACAAUUAUUUAUUGUUUCAUAAAUAACCGCUAAUGAGUGGAGUUUUUUUAAAUAGUUUGUGUUAUUUAUAAUUAUCAUUGAUGACAAUACAAACUCAAUUACAGGAUAUAUAGAGUUGUUUCGAGUUAUAAAUAUAAGUGUAUACGAGAAUUAAAAGUAUCGAAUAAAAUGCAUUGAGAAUUGAUAUUUAUAAUUUUUUUUUGUUAUAUUUGACUUGAAAACUAUUUAUUGUUUCAUAAAUAACCGCUUAUGAGUGAAAUCUCUUUAAAUAGUUUGUGUUAUUUAUAAUUGUCAUCGAUGACAAUGCAAACUCAAUUACAGGAUAUAUAAAACCAUUUCGAGUUAUAAAUAUUUUCGUCUUUAUAACGACUAGGUAAAAAACUAAGAUUCUUAAAACGAGUUAAGUAUUUUUUAAAAGAUACAAAUUAUAAGACGGUUAAAUAAGAAUAUUGAUAAAAAAAAUAUAAAACAUAAAAAAGAUAUUAUCAUAAAAUUUGUUGAAAUAAGAAUUUUCAUUAUGUGCAAUUGCUAGUGUUUAUGCGAAUUUUGGCAUUGAAGUUUUUUUGACACUCUUCUCUAAAACUGUGUGACAUUCUCUUUCACUUUCUGAAAAAUAUUCUCCCACUCAUAUAGUUUUCUCCAUAACUGAAAUAAUUCCAAACCAUUCAAGCCUAAAAAUAUUAACUCGACUCACUAGUUUUUUUGGUAAUGACAAGGAAUUUAGAUAAUAUUUGUUAACUUCGAAUUUCAUUAAAUUUGAAUCUCGUCGCCGUUAUAUAAAGAUAAACAUUGCCCCAAAAAUUUAUGAAAAAUGCUUUGAAUGUUGAAAUUUAAAUGCAUUAUUAGGUCAAUAGGUCCGCCGCAACCAAAGAGGGACGUCUCAAGUGUGCAAAAGCCAAUUGUUGGUUUGAAAUAAUGAGAGCAAUGCUAAAGAUAAUGUGGUGUGUAGUUGCAAAAUUAAUUUUGAUUUUCAUCAGCAGCUAUAUUUUAAAUUAACUUAUUUUUAUAUUAUAUUGUUGUUUGGCGAUAUUGGUGGAAGAUAGUUUAUAGAUUUAUAACUACUAUAUGUAUAGUUUGGAAUAGGAUGAGUUCCACAACACAACUUUAGUAUUCGGUUUUGAUUGAUUGAUGUCUAAAAUGUAUUGUGGAUCAAGAGAUAAUUAAUAAAGUUAAGCAGUAUGAAAAAUUAGGUAAUAUAUUAUUAAUCACGAUCCAUACAUUAAUAUUGGUCAAAGAGUAACAAUGUCCAUGAUAAACAUAUAAGUAGAUACAACUUAAAAGAAAAUACAUGUCGUUAUUACACAAUUAUUGCACAGAAUACUCACUUCAUCACUAGAUCACCUUUUGUAGGUAUUCUUUGACCGAAAACAAAUGAAGAAAAUAUAGUUUGAUUGAAGUGGAGGAACGAGAGCAGAGAAAGAGAGAAUAAGUCGAAUAAGUCUGAGAAGUAAAAAAAAACACGUACUGACUGAUUAAAACAAAAAAAAGUAAAUUAUUCCAUGAUAAAUAUUUUCUUAAAAACACUAUCAAAUUUUUAUAUUUAUAUUAUAAUUCAAAAUAAAAGAGGAAAGAUUUUGACCACCAUUAACCUUAAACCAAUAUGUACACAAUUUUUAAAAGAAAUAAGUAACAUUUACAUCAAUCAUACAACCACUAAUAUUUUAAAAUGUCUAUUGUUGAAAAUAAAAGGAUUAAUAAUAUAACAUUUUUUACAAAAUCUAUAGAAAUUAAACUUUAUAUAUAAAUGUGGAAUCAUACAAAACCCUUUCUCUGCCAAAUUUGAUAAAAUAAGCUGCGGUGCAUAUGAAAAAAAAAAGAGAGAAAGUAGGAGAAGACAAGCAUUAAUGGGAGAACGUGCGCUUACAAGUUGCAAUAGGAAUUAAUGAAUUACGAUGGUGCGCCAUGUAUAGUAGUCCUAGAAAUAAAUAGAUGGAUUGAUUUUUGUAACAUUAAAAUCUCUUACUCCUUAUUUAUGACCCUUCUUAUGAAGAAGACUUGUACUUUUGGAUUUCCAACGUGAAUACAGAAUAUAGAGUACAGAGAUGUUGUGGUUACAGUGAUUAUUUUGAUUGGGGAGAGUAAAAGAAUGGAAUCGAAGAACAAUAGCUCAGAUGAGAUUCUUACUGUGGGUUUGUUACGGAUGUUUUGGGUGGUAAAAACAAAUUGUAUUUGUUGGUAUCAUAGGAGCCAUAUCAUUCAAUCACACAUUUAAAACAAUUACAAUAAAUAGUAAAAGUGAUUGGGUAUGAAGUUACGAUCAAUUGUGUUGGACCGACUAAAUACCGUGUUUAGUGAGUAAGUUUAAUCAUAAUAUCAUUUUAUAAUUUUUAUUUAAAGAAAUCAUUGUACUUAGGUGUGCAACAAAACAAAAAUGAAAACCUAAUAGUUGCUCGUGUAGAUGUAGGUUGCAGUUGACGACCGAAUCACAUUAAAUUUUGUGUUGUUUAUUUUUCUACAGUUGAUUCGUGAUUGUGUGGUGCUUCCGCGUGAUAAAAAACUUGUUAAGAAUUCAGAACAUGUUCCAUCAAAUUCGGAUAACACUUUAAAAAAUCAGAAAAUCUCUCUCAAAAUAAACUAACAAUGAUAUAUAUAUAUAUAUAUAUAUAUAUAUUAGAUUCAACUUAUUAGGACAGAUAAUCUAUAACUAAAUAAUAUAAAUAAAUCCUCGUAUAAAUAUGUUUUUAAUCAGUUAUUAAUAUACCAUUAAUAUACUAUACUGAGUAUUUAGUUAUUACUAGAAUUGAUUACUAGAAUAUAUUUGUUGGUCAAACCUGAUCGAAUAUCAACAAAUAAAAGAAAAACCUAAAAUGAAAAACAAAAGAAUGACUGAGAUACAUAAAAAAAAUUUACAGAUAUUAUCUGGAUACACUUUUAUAGAAUGAUGAGAAUGGAGAUGAUGGUGUUACGUGAAAGAAAGUUGGUUGAUAUUUUGGACAGUAAUGUUGGGGAUGAGAUUCGGUAUCAGGCAGGGAGUGUUACGUCGCUGGUGAAGGGCAGUGGUGGGUAGUGUGAGAGUCAGAGGCAAAAUCUGUGUAGGGUCUCUCACAAAGAUGUGGUCUCACUCACAGAUCAUACCCUUUUCUCUUUCCCUCUCUCUUCUUUUCUUCUCUUCUUCCAUGCAUUCUCUGCUCGUACCGACAAAAUCAAUCGUUUUUACUCUUUCUCAGCUUUUCCAUCUUUUCUUCUCUUCUACCUCUCUCUCCAU
rnacentral:lncRNA from 1 species